rnacentral:lncRNA from 1 species
AAAAACAAAAACUGAUUUAAACUAACAUGUUAUACAGGAAUAUCUUGAGAAUUGAGAUUAAGGUCGAAGGUAGCCGACAGAACCGACCAGAUUUAGUCAAAAACGUAAAAGACGCGCAAAAGAGAGAAAUGGAAAGAAAAAAACAACCAUCCGUAGUACAGUAGUAGUAGAAUGUUUUGGUCAGAAGAAAUAAAAACCCAUGAGCAACUAAAACAUGACCAGCGUAGAAACUGAGGUUGACAUAAAGCAAAGCUACAAAAGAAGCAUUAAAUAUAUAUAUAUAUAUUUUUUUUUUGUCGAAUGACACGACGAAUCAAAGAUUUUUCCUUAAAAGCGCGUUUGCUGCUCUGUCUCCUCCUCCAUUUAUAUCAAAGAUCAUCUCUGUCUUUUGCUCUAAGCUUUCCUGUCAUACAAAAAUUCAUUUCCCCACGUCUGUUUUUUGUCUUCUCUCUAAACUCUUAACCAGCCAAGAAAUCACAACAAUAAAGACCAAACCUUAGCUUAGCUUUUAUUAGAUAGAGAGCUAGCUACUCAUUUAUACGAUUUCUCAACAAGGAGAGAGACAGAGACAGAGACAGAGACAGAGACAGAGAGAGAGAGAUAGACUUUACAGGUAAUUAUAUUCUCCUCUUUAGUUUAUUAUAAUCUCUAAAUAUGGGUGUCUUUUGUUUUGUGGGAUAAAAAAUGCCUAUUCUUGAGCUGCAUACCUCUCUGUCUCUUGUCUUUGCUGUUUUCAUUUUUCUUUUUUGUAAAACAAAUUUGCUCUUUUGAGGGUUUCGAGUUCUUUGGGUUUCCCAAAUUUCUCCACAAAGCUCGACCCUUUCCGUAUCUUCCUUCUCAUUUUCUGCCUCAUUUCUUUGAUUGAUUCGAUCCGUAUGUAUCCUAUGGAUUCUGAUUAUCAUCGUCGUGGUCUCGCGGUAAGAACUAUAUAUAUAUAUAUAUAUAUCAAAGCUUUUAUUUUUUCUUCGAAUCUAUCUCUCUAAUUCCCUAAUUGGGUUGGUGUUUUUGGAUUUUGAAAACUAUGACACUUGAAGCGUUAUUGGGUUUGUGUAAAGGUCUUAGCUUUAUGCUGAAUCUCAAAUUUGGAAUCUCUCAAUGUGAUUAGAAUUCAUUAUUGAUCCAUAGAUUGUCAACUACACUCACAGAUCAAAAUUACUGUUGUUGCUGAUUUGAGGAAACUUACUUUGGCUCUGUAUUGAUUGGGAGAUAUCUUGCUAUUGGUGACAUGAAUAUAGAAAUCUUUGUGAGAGUUGAUUGACUAAUUAGAGCUGUAUAUUGCAGGCGAACGAUCGUUCACCAGCCCACUUUGUUAGGCUGGAUAAACCGAGAGCCGUAGACGACCUCUAUAUAGGCAAGAGAGAAAAGAUGCGUAGGUGGUUGUGCUGUGCUUGCCACGUUGAAGAACCUUACCAUUCUCCUGAAAAUGAACACCUCAGAAGCCCUAAACACAAUAAUGGUUAUGGUACUGCUCUUUUCUCUAAUUAGUUUCUUGUGAUUUCCUGGCCAUGAUCUUAUCAUUUCUUGCUAGUUACAGAUCUUCUUGUUUGCAAAUUCAUAUUUUCCCUUGGUAUAUUCAUCUUUUUCUGUUUUUGUUUUGUUAUGUUGAAGGGCAUCACAACAGAAAAACACCGGCUGCUGUGAAGCCUGAUGCUUUGAAGGAGCCUCCAUCUAUUGAUGUGCCUGCAUUGUCAUUGGAUGAGCUGAAAGAAAAGACUGAUAACUUUGGAUCAAAGGCAUUGAUUGGUGAAGGAUCAUACGGAAGAGCCUAUUAUGCAACCUUGAAAGAUGGGAAGGCUGUGGCCGUGAAGAAGCUUGAUAAUUCAGCUGAACCUGAAUCAAAUGUUGAGUUCUUGACUCAGGUCUCCAGGGUUUCCAAGCUGAAGCAUGAUAAUUUUGUUGAGCUCUUCGGUUAUUGUGUUGAAGGGAACUUCCGCAUUCUUGCAUAUGAGUUUGCCACAAUGGGAUCUUUACACGAUAUUUUACAUGGGAGAAAAGGUGUCCAAGGAGCACAACCUGGUCCAACACUUGAUUGGAUCCAACGAGUCAGAAUCGCAGUUGAUGCAGCUAGAGGACUUGAGUAUUUACAUGAGAAAGUUCAACCUGCCGUAAUACACAGAGAUAUUCGAUCUAGCAAUGUGCUUCUCUUUGAAGACUUUAAAGCCAAGAUCGCUGAUUUUAAUCUAUCAAAUCAAUCUCCUGAUAUGGCUGCUCGUCUUCAUUCUACCAGAGUUUUGGGAACCUUUGGUUACCACGCACCAGAGUAUGAAUGCUUCUGAAACAACAAUUGAUCACACUAUUCUAUAGGAAGUAAAAGAUUGUAACUUACAUUUUUGCUGUUGCAGGUAUGCGAUGACUGGUCAACUGACACAGAAGAGUGAUGUUUAUAGUUUUGGUGUAGUGCUUUUGGAGCUCUUGACUGGUAGAAAACCCGUCGAUCAUACGAUGCCUCGUGGUCAACAAAGUCUUGUCACUUGGGUAAGUAUUAAAACCCUUUUUCUUUAAUCUCUGAGGAUAAUCUUACUUCCAAAAUUACUGAUUAUUCUUGGCAUUUGCUAUGUAACUUAAGGCUACUCCAAGGCUCAGCGAAGACAAAGUGAAGCAAUGUGUCGAUCCAAAACUGAAAGGAGAUUAUCCUCCUAAAGCUGUUGCCAAGGUAAAAGCUUCAUCUUUUUGACACUUUAAUCUCUAACCUGUGAAACUACUUCCAAAGCUAACCAUGAAAUACUGUUUCCCCUUAUUCUUGCGCUUCAGCUCGCAGCAGUAGCAGCGUUGUGUGUGCAAUAUGAAUCAGAGUUUAGGCCGAACAUGAGCAUUGUGGUAAAAGCUCUUCAACCAUUGUUGAGGUCAUCAACGACAGCAGCUGUUCCAGUCCAGGAAACUUGAUUCAUUUGUGUAGUAACAAUGGAAGAUUGGUUUGUGUUUCAAUUGUUGUCAUACCAUAUAAUGUGUUCCAGAGUCUUUUUGUCUGAGGCUUUUCUUCAGUUGGGAUAUGUAUGUUUACUAAAGUGAUGAGUAGUAGUGAUUUGGUGUGUCUUUUCAAAUGUUUGGUGGAGUCUGCUUAUCUUACAAAAUUAUUCUUAUAUUGUAUCUGGUUUGAAUUUUUUGGGGUUUUUCUCCCUGUAUUCAAUAUAUUUUAUUUUCAUAACCGCAUACAAAAUUGUGAACUUCUUAGAUACAGUUUUGAUAGGAAUAGUAAUCACUCAGAUAUUGCAAUAUUAGUCAUUGAUUCAACAGAUUUAAGAAAUGCUUGGCAGCUUUCACUGGCUGAAAAUAUGCUUUUUUAUAUAUAUAUGAGAAGUUAAAGAAUCCAACUGUGAGAGUAAUUGUAUAAGAAGAAAAACAAGAGCAAAAAAGUGACCUGAUAUUUUGCAAAAACCAAAGAAUACAAUAUAUAUAUAUCCAAAAUACAUAUAUCACUUACCAAGUUUGUUCACUAUAUCUUAAACAAUACAGCUUCAGACCUGAAGGUUCUUCAACGAACUUAAACCGACUCUUGAGAGAGGUAGGAGUUGGUCUCAUGAAGGUUGCUUCACUGUAUCCUCUGCUAGUAUGCGACUGGUAAAGCCCCAAUUUCUAGAAUAUUCUCCGCCAAAAGAAUUCUUCAGAACAAAAAAAACUGCAGCCAAAAGAUGUAAAAGUACAUGAUUCUUUAUAUUAGUAACAGUCAUGUAUUACUGGAGUAACUUGUAUUUUCUGAAACCUAGGUUGGAUGCUUUGGUAAGAAUGUAUCUAGGUGAUCAAUCAUCUUUGAGAGUGGAGCUUGAAAUGUAAUAUGAUGAAGUGAGAUAAACAGUUACCUACUUUUAAGAAACUUUUCAUCUGGGAAGAAGCGGGGUUCUAUCAUCUGAUUCACCGCGGUGACUAGCCUGAACAGACACAGACAAAAACAACUAUAGUAAACAUUGAUAUCGACUUAAGUUGGGAAAAAUACAAGAACUAGCUUCAUAAAUUUAUUUUUAACCUCUUCAUUUGCUCCUGCGGCCAUGUUGAUGAAAGAGUCAUUAGCCCUGAAAGCGAUAACAGGGAGGGAAAAAAAUUAAAUGGUGUUAAUACUGCGACUUAUCUGUUACAAGACUUUUUGCUUAUAAAAUUUGUCUAAAGAGGAAUUGAUAAUCACAGUAAACGCUAAAGAAGUAUUUAUGGUGACACUAACCUGUGAGAAUCUUUUGCAUUGCUUAGUUCUAGGUUACCGUUCUGUUGUUGCUCAUCUUUCACUUUAGCCAGUGGUGAAAAGAACUAUGUAUAUAUGAGACAAAUAUAAAUAAGACAGAAACUAUUUCGUUAAGUCAAAUUUAUUCACCAGGGAAACUGUUCAUAUGGGUUUACCUGGUGCAUUGAAAUGAAAACGAUCGAAAUUCCAAGAAGAAAGUUCAUAGUUAUAACAUGUCCAAAGAGAGCUGCAGAUGCUAUUCCCGUAAAUAUUGUGGCAACUGUCGAUGAAUAUUUCUUCAAGAUUGUAUCUGAAAGCAUCAAUGAUGAAGGUAAAUAUCCACGAUAACAAACUUGCUAUACCAAACAUUCUCCAGAUCUGUUAGAAAAGCAUCUAGACUCAAGCAACCUAGUUCAUAUUUUAAAUAAUCUAACAAAGCUCGUCAGUAUAACCUGCAUAUUUGAAGAAAAAGGAGGAUAAAAUCCCUUGUGCUGCAUUGUUCAGUAUCAAAAACAUGGUAGCCCUAGAAUGUCCUUGUAGGAUGUCAAAGCUGCCAGGACCUGUCAAUAUCAUGAUAAAUUUCUCAGCAAUGCUUAAGCUUAAAGGAUUACCUUACAGGAUUUUCAAAAGCUAUUAUGGUGCUUCAAACAUAUUAUUUUCUUCCAUGUCAUUUUAAAAAUAAAAUGCACAUACCUUUAUAUAUAACAGUUCCUAGUAUUCCAAGAAAGUUGAAUAUCGCACCAUAACCAUAGAGAAAUAAAUUCUGCAAGAGAAAAAAAAAUUCAAUGAGAUGACAUAUUAAUAUAUACACAAGGUCAAAAGAAGAAGACAACACAGAAGUAAAGACCAUUACAGAAUUUGACAUGACCAAGAAUAUGAGCUAUGUACCAUUAGUUAUAACACAGCUAAGUAGACCAGCGAACAGAACAAAGAAUUCAACAACCCAAGGUUCUUUGAUCCUAACAAGCAACUGCCAACUAGUUUUACUAAGACAACUGAAAGUUUAUAAUUCCAUUUCAUAAACAACACACAGCAAAUCAUUUCUCUGAUGCAAGAUGAGAAAAGUGCAUCUCAACUAUCUAACCUGAAGGUAGAUGCUUGUGUCAUACUGACUCUUUAGAGCAUAUUCGUUGAAGACAGAUGCCAUUGACGGGACAGUAACCUGCAUGUAAAUUUGCAAAUUAGCCUCUAGCAUAAAUUACAGCUCUUUCAUGAUGCAUCAAUAGGCCAGUACAAGAAGUCAGAUUAUGUGAGUAGAAUUACUAUUUACUAUAAUACCUUCAAAGUGAGCAACUAUAAGUAUGUCCCAUUCAUACUGUAUGGGAAAAUAUAUACUUACAAAGAUGACGGUACAGACGUAUGCACCCGUAGCAAGAGGAAUUCCAAUGGCUGUAGCACCUUCAGGAAGAGAACGUAAUUGAUUUACACUAAUACCAAUCAGCAACAGAGCAAGUGCCUCCCACUAUAACAAAAAUUAAGGAUAACACGAUUUAGUAAUACAAAUAUGAAAUGUGUGUGUGUGAGAACAUACAAAACCCUAUCAAGAAUAAGAUGUAACUAUGAAAGGAAAUUUACACAAAAACUUCCACAAUGAUAUUACAUAUGUUACUGGAAAUCGGUCAUAGAUAUAAUCUAUUAGUAAUACAAAUAUGAAAUAUAUGAAGAUACAUAUAUGUGUGUGUGUGAGAACAUACAAAACCCUAUCAAGAAUAAGAUGUAACUAUAAAAGGAAAUUUACGCAAAAACUUCCACAAUGAUAUUAUAUGUUACUGAAAAUCAGUCAUACAUAUAAUCUAUUAGUAGGAAUAACUGAAACUGACCUGUAUGAUAGAAAACCGCCGCUUCAUUAUCAUCUUUAAUAGAACAGCAAUGACCAGAACCUUUAGGUUGCUAAGCAUCUUCACAGUUGCUGGGUUGAAAUAUAGCUGGCACGGCAGAGACUUUCAUUAUCGUGUGAAAUUAAAUUAUAGAAAGAAUGAAACGUAGAAACAAAUAGUACAAGCCAAGAAGGACAGUAAAUAAAUCCACCGCAAUGCACAAUUUAACUAUGAUGUAAAUAGCUGGCCGACUCAUAUAAUCUCUGGCCACCAGAUCUUAAGGCGGAAGAGAUAUAGCAGAAAAGAGCGGUGUAUAAACUUAUCUUUGGAAAUGGUAAUUCCAUUAUCUGGUUAGGGUGCACUUAAGUAGUGUCUGACGUGGAAAGGUAGAAAGUAAACAAAUAUAUCGGAUCCACAAAAUUGAAGUAGAUAGAAAACAUGAUAUGCUCUUGCCAUAAAGCCAAAACUUUUGACAAUAGACCUUACUACGUUUCAAUUGUUUCAUUACACUUAAGGAUGCCAAAAUGAAAAAUAACAAGUGGUUAUACCUGCAUUGUGAACUUCAGAUAGUUAUUAAUUGCAUACAACAGGGCUGGAACGGCAAGAAGCACAUUAUUUCGAGCUGCCUACAAAAAAGACUCAUGUCAAUGCAAAAUGGUUCUCAGAAAACUCAAAAUUGUAUCUAUGUACUGGUCAGUAAAAUCCACAUUUCAAACAACCGGGCAUUGACAUACCAACAUGUAACUUUUCGGAUCACCAAAUUACUAAACUCUACAAAACCUAAUGAUCACCAAAUUACUAAACUCUACAAAACGUAAUGAACUGUAGAAAAAAGAAGGAAAUACAUAGAUGAGACAUGUUUGUAUGACAUAUGACGAUCAUGUAGCUAGCUUCAGGUUUGAGAAUAUGCCAUACCACAAUCUAGUACAUCAGCUAUGCAAUGCACUACACUCCCUAUAAUCGACAAAGAAGAGAUACCUGGACAAAUGUGGAAAUGGAUAGAAGAGGUUUCUCUCCAACUUUUUGGUUCCUGGCCUACAAUUUGAACACAAAGACAUAAGUAUUUAAGAUCGUCCACGGUUCAUACAAAAAUCCACGAGACUCAAGAAGUAGGUAAUAAUUCGAAAAUCAAGAAAGUGACUUUAUGCACAGAACUGAAAGGGAUCUUUAUCAUAUUCCCAUUACCGGUUAAUCAACACCCUGAACUUCUACUCUCUAGUAGUUUUCACCUUCUAAUGCAGACUAAACAUCUAGACACCAGCCCUAGAUUCUAGAGUAGAGCCUAAAUGUCCCACUUACAGAAUCAAGUUUAUACGUUAGUCCAGAAACAUACCUGGAGUAAAAGCAUGACAAUUGCAAAAAUAACUUUAGCAAUCUCUGUCAAAAAGUUGACGCUAAUAGGACUGAAGUUGAACUUCCCAUCCACCUUAGACAUGUACACCAAGACAGGCUGAAAAAAAAAAAGGAACAAAGUGAGUAACUUUUAAGUGAUUUACACAACAAAUGAUGAGCUGAGAGGGAAAAUAUGAAAAUGGUUGUUCCACCAGGAUUCAGUAGUCAGUCAUAUGAUGGAAAAUAUGUCAAAAGCAGGUGGUCCAUGAUCAUGGAAGCUACGAAAUGCAGCUGAAGUGGUGUUUGCUCUUUAUAAAAAAAAAAAAGAAAAAAAAAAGAGAAGGGAGAUGAUUAACCUGUAGACCAACAAGCAUGCAAUCACCUACUACUAAAAGGACAUUGAGGACACGUUGUUUAGAGGAAACCCUAAUCUUGUGGUCGUCAUAAGCCCUCGAAAUAGUUUUGCUACCGGGAGAGACCAAUUUGGAAUGGCAUACACUGCACUCAGCUAUCCCGUUCUUCAUUUGUCUUUCUCAAUCUGAAAAAUCUCUAGACUGAGCUAAGCCUGAUAUAAACAACAACAAACUCGUGAGUCGCGUUCCAACUAAUUAAAAUAAAUGGCAAGAUGAUAUCUAACAACUUUAAGCAAAAGGCAAGUAAUCAAACAGAGAGUAUCAACAGCAUCACCAAUUCUAAACCCACAAUCAGAUCUCCAAAGCUGAAUAAAAUCACAAUUCAAUAGAUAAAAUGAGCGAAAAAUAGAUCUCAAAAAAAAAAAAAAAAAAAAAGACAAAGAUGGUGGAUCUAAAGCCGCCAUUAAAAGACUUGUCGGUUCAAUUGCAAAAGAAUAUAAAAUUCGUGAGCAGAAGGAUCAAACUAACCUCAAUAAACCAAAACGAUUGAGCUUAACAAAACAUUCCCUCCAGCCACGGAACGUAUUUGUUGAUAUCUUCCAAAGACAGAUCGAGCUCCACUAAUCCCUGGCUACAGAUUUGCAAAAAUUAGAACCAAGAUCUACUGAGACUCAGCUCGGGAGAUGCCAAGGGAAUAUGCAGAGGAGAUUGAAUCAGUUAGUGGGUCGUCUCGUCGUCCUUGUUAUCUAACACACGACCUCUCUCUCUCUCUCUCUUUUUUUGCUUUGAUUUCACAACAACGUUUUCUUUUAGUUUUCUUAAAUUAAUUGCCGUAAUUUUGAGAUUAGCCUAACACCAUUUAUUAAUUUUACUAUAGUUUAUGCGGAAAAAAAAAAUAUAACAGCUACUGCAUUAUUUAGAAAUGUUAUGAAUCAUAGUGGAUUGUCAUAACAACCCCAUUAAGGCCCGUCCCAUGUCAAGCCCGGUCCGGCCCAAUGUUAUGGAGGUGUAACUAGUAUUAGGGUUUACUUGUAACCUCCUUUGUAUGAACCUAUAUAUAUGGCUUUAACCUAAUGAAUAAAGCAUCCCAGUUCCCUCUCUAUUCUCUCUAGUCUAUAACACGUUAUCAGCACGAUUCUCUAAAAACCCUAAAAGCUAAAAUCACUUCUAAAAACCCUAAACCUUAAAAUCUCGGCGGCUACUGUUCAUCCGUCACUGUUCACCGCCGUCACUGUUCACCGCCGUCACUGUUCAUCGGCGGUUACUGUUCAUCGCGGAUCUUUUCAGAAGCUUGAGAAACCGAGGUCUUUAGCUCCCGGUCCAAACCAUUCAGAAUCCAAUUGGUGAAAGAGGUAAACAUUACAAACCCUAAAAACCAUUAAUUCAUGUUUUUCAAAACCUAAAACCAUGAUUUUAAAACAUGUGAUUGUUUAUCAAAGUACUUUUCAUAUGAAUUUAUAAAACCCUAGAAAUAUGAAAUUGUUGUUUAAAGUGCUUUUCACAUGAUAAUAUAAAACCCUAAAAACUUGGAUUGUUGUUUGGAUCACUUUUCAUGCUUUUAUAAAAACUUAGAUUGUUCUUUGAACUACUUUUCAUGCAACCUAAAAUCGAUUGUAAAUUUGUUGUUUUCAUAUGAAUUGAUGUUUGAUAAUAUUAAUAUGAAUUAUGAAAACCUAAUACUUGAUUAAACAUGAAAUCGAACAUGUAUGCAUGAUCACCUUAGACUUUCUAUUUUUGAAAUUGAAUAUGUAUGCAUGAUCACCUAGACUUUCUAUUUUUUAAAAUCGAUAUGCUUGAGCACCUAGAACAGCAUGAUAAACUUAAGAUCAUGAAAUAAAUUAUUUGCUUGAAUCGCAUGAUGGGUGUUUUCUUGAUCUUUUAUAGAAAUCGCAUGCUAGGGUGCUUGAUUGAAAAUCGCAUGUAUGCUUGAUAUAUCUUGAUUGAAAAUCGCAUGUAUGCUUGAUAUAUUUUUGAUUGAAAAUCGCAUGUAUGCUUGAUAUAUCUUGAUUGAAAAUCGCAUGUAUGCUUGUUAUAUAUGAAUCUCGUUUGGCAUGUAAGAGACUAUAAGACCAUGAGACAUAAGAUUAUGAUAUUAUGAGAAUCUCGUUUGGCAUCUAUAAGACCAUGAGAUAUGAGAAUCAUAAGAGAAUCUCGUUUGGCAUGUAUAAGACUAUAAGACCAUGAGAUAUGAGAAUCAUAAGACAAUGCAUGAACCUUGUCCGGGAUGAUUGUUCGGAGAAAAGGGGACGCGGCUCGGCGAGUUUAUACUCGUCCGAACUGAUGCGCGGGCUACCUCUCUACCGAACGGUUGGAACGGGCAACGGUAAUAAAAAGGUUUAUAAGGAAACCUAAACAUGAGCAUUUGUCCUUCUUUUGAGAUAUCAAAACUCAAUAACUUGGAUUUUAACGCCCUUAAUCUCUUGGGAGAUAAUUAUUUGAAAUAGGCGUUGGAUGUUAAGAUCAUCCUAAAAUCAAAGGGGCUCGUUGAAUGUAUUGUUGAUGGCAAUGACGAGCCCGAUAUGAAUAAGGCAAUUAUUCGCCAUCACCUUGCGGAGAGUCUCAAGGAUCAGUACUUGUCUAUAUUGAGAAUCCCUUGGACCUUUGGAACGAACUCAAAAAUCGUUAUGAUCACCAACGUACGGUGUCACUACCAAAGGCCAUGUAUGAUUGGAUAAAUCUCAAGAUCCAGGAUUUUAAAUCCGUGGACAGAUAUAACUCAGCCAUGUUUAAGAUAGUUUCUAUCUUGAAACUGUGAGGAGAAGAGAUAAGUGAGAAGGAUAUGUUUGAGAAAACCUUCUCCACCUUCCACACAAGUAAGUAUUGUUAUAACAACAAUAUCGUGAAAAGGGAUUUGAGACAUAUGCAAGUCUGAUCUCAUGAGCAAAACAAUGAAUUGCUAAUGAAAAAUAGCCAGAUGAGACCUCCCGGGACAGCCCCACUCCCUGAAACUAAUGCUGUUGCAUCGGAUAAUAAAGAAGCCAAAGAGGCUCACCACGUCCAAAGAAAUAAUAAUACAUCCGGCCAUGGACGUGGUAAAUGGCAAGGACGUGACCGUAGUCACUCCUCCGGUCGUGGACAAGGUCGAGGCCGCGGGUAUCACGGCAGAAAAGGCUGUAGCCGUGGUACACCUUUCAAACCGCAAAACCCGACCGGAAAAUCAGUUUGCCAUAGAUGUGGGAUGGGGAACCAUUGGGCUAAGAAUUAUCGGACUCCCAAGUAUUUUAUUGACCUCUAUCAAGAGAGUGUAAAAGGGAAGAAUCCGGAAGCUCAUUUGGUGCAUUAUGAUAAUAAGGAUGAUUUUGAUCAUACCAAGGAUGAUCUCAUGGAGACUUCCGAUUGCCUUGAAUAAACCAAGUGUUUCGACAUCAACCUUUGUUAAGCUUUAUAAUUCUCUAUAAUAAUUUGAAUGUAUUCUCAAUAAUUACUAUGGAUCUAUCUCUAUGGAAUAAUUUUAUAAAAGUGUUUAAGAUAUAGUUUGUGGUGGAUAAUAGGGCAAGCCACACGAUCUUACACUUAAAAAUGCCAAUAAUUACCAUAGCGGGUAUGGCUAAUUUAAUUGAAGGCUACGGCCAUAUAUUAUUUCCCAUGGGUAUGCUUUUAGAGAUUUCUAAUGCAUUAUAUUCACCUAGCUCAAAGAGGAGCCUAUUAUCUCUCAAAGAUAUUAUAAUGAAUGGUUUUCAUAUUGAAACCAAGGGCAAAGGAAACAGAGAGUUCCUUAUGAUUUAUGAAAUUGCCCAAGGCCAUAAGAAAGUCCUAGAGACUAUACCCGCUAUAUCAUCAGGCAUUUACUGUGCUAAGGCAAGUAAGAUAUAUUCUAAUGCCACGGUAAACAAAAGGUUUACCGAGAGAUUCACUUUAUGGCACGACCGGCUUGGCCAUCCGGGUCGAGUAUGAUGCGAAAAAUAAUCAUGAAUAUAUAAGGGCACACACCGAAAGAAAUAAGAGUUAUCCCAUAGAAUCUCACGUGUGUAGCAUGUUCACAAGGGAAACUCAUUAUAAGGCCAUCACCAGUCAAAGUGAUUAAGACUAUAUGUCUAAAUAAUGCUGGUGAAUUCACGUCCCAAGCUUUUAAUGCUUAGUGUAUGUUCAUGGGGGGUAAGAGUAAAACAUUUUGUGGCACAUGGACAUACACAAAACGGUCUGGCUGAAUCAUUUAUAAAAUGAAUACAGCUAAUUGCCAGACCAUUGCUAAUGAGAUCAAAUUCCCGAUCUCAGCUUGAGGACAUGCUGUCUUACAUGCAGCUGAAUAAUUCGCAUCAGGCCAUCUAGUGAACAUACAUAUUCCCAAAACAAUUAUUAACGGGUCAUGAGCCAGACAUAUCCCAUCUUAAGAUAUUCGGAUGUGCCGUUCAUAUAUUAGUUGCUCCACCACAAAGAACUAAGAUGGGUCCUCAGAGGAGGAUGGGGAUAUAUGUUGGAUAUGAAUCUCCCAUAAUAAAUAAGUAGCUUGAGCCGACCACGGUUGAUUUAUUCAAGGCCAAGUACACGGAUUGUCAUUUUGACGAAUCCACUUACCCACCACUAGGGGGAGAUCAUAAUAAUCAUAAGCUGGUAAAAGAAAUUAUACGGAAUCAAUCAUCCAUAUAAUGGCAAAGAUCCUCGGAUUAUGAAAUAUGAAUUAGACGUCCAAAAGCUAGCUAAUUGCCAGAUUCCUUUGACCCAAAUAUAUAGUGACUCAAUCACAUAUACCAGCUAUGAAUGCACCUAUAAGAAUUGAUGUUCAUGAAGGACGCAAUCAAGUUGCUACAGAGUCUAAGGCCCGUAUGAAACGAGGCAGACCAAUAAGUUCAAAAGAUUAAAACCCUCGGAAACAAAGAAAGGUGUUACGAAUAAUUCCGAGGUUACCGUGGUGGGUACCCGUGACAUAACCGAACCUCAGUUACCAAAUAAUGAGACUUGGGACGCCAAGGUUCAAGGUACUGAUGAUGUUCAUAAUAAUAAUGUGAUCGCGAUCAUUGAUGUUAUGUCCGGGAUAAAAUGGAACUGAAAAGAUGUCGACGUCGACAAUAUAUUUGCAUACAAGGUAGCACUUGAAAUAAAAUUGAUAAGCGAGGAUAUAUAACCCACGUCCAUAAUAUAAUGCACUCAAUGCACAGAUUGGAUUAAAUAUGUGGAGAUAACCCACGACCAUAAUAAGAAUGCACUCAAUGCACAGAUUGGAUUAAAUAUGUGGAGAAGAGGAAUGUAUAAGGCCACCUCUCGUAUAAAGCCAGUUGGACAUAAAUGGGUCUUUGUGAGGAAAAGAAAUAAAUAUGGUGAUAUCGUGAGAUAUAAAGCACGGCAUAUUGCACAAGGAUCCUCACAUAGACCAUGAAUAUAUUAUGAGGAGAUAUGCUCCCAUGUGGUGGAUGCUAAGUCUUGCUAUAUAAAUGAAAAGACUUCAUUUGCGGCUAAUGGAUGUAAUGUCUGCAUAUUUAUAUAAGUCCACUGGAUAAUAUAAGAGAUUACCAGAGAGUAUUGAGCUCAAAUAUAAGAAAGGUUCUCGAGAACAUCACUGCGCAUAAGGCUGGACAAAUCCUUUCAUGGACUUAGAAUAAAUGGGCGUAUGUAAGAUUAUAAACGAUCCCAUCAGUUCAUGAAUACUCAUAAAGAGGUUUGCAAACAAAGGAUUUGUAAUCAUAAGCAGUGUAUAUGAACCUCUGGGUAAUCGACCAAACAGUUGAAAGACCUAGGCAAUAAAUAAGUCCUGUUUGGAAUUACACCUUGAGUACAUAAAUAAUGAAAUCCUUGUGUAUCAAAUGGCAUACAAUAAAGGGUACUCAAAGGAAAUUUAUAAGGACUAGGCCCGCCCAUUGACCAGGCCCAAUGGUGGUGAGAAGUCUAAGAUUGGAUAUUGAUUCAUUCAGUCCGUAAAUGUCAUACCUCAGUGUCAUAAGAGCUUUAAUGUAUCUGCCGAGCCACACUAGGCCAUAUAUAUGUUUUGCCGUGAAUCUAUUAUCUAGAUUUAGCUCAUUGUCCAACCCAAAGGCACUGGGACGAGAUUACAACAUAUUCUUCGUUAUCUACAAGGUACGAAAGAUUUGGGUUUAUUUUACACUAACCAUCCCAAGGAGGGAUUUGUUGGUUUUGCUGAUGCAGGUUAUCUCUCGGAUCCGCACAAUGGUCGAUCACAAACUGGCUAUGUUUUCACGUACGGUGGAACGGCAAUAUCUUGGCGAUCUCAAAAGCAAACGAUCGCAGCAACAUCGUCCAACCAUUAUGAAAUCUUGGCGAUGCAUGAGGCCAGCCGUGAAUGCGUUUGGUUGAGGUCCGUGACCCAACAUAUUAUGAUCGAUUGUGGGAUGACCGAAGGGAAGGCAGCACCAACAAUAAUGUAUGAGGACAAUGCUGCCUGCAUAGCUCAGCUCAAAGAUGGAUACAUCAAAGGAGAUAGGACGAAGCACAUCUUGCCAAACUUCUUCUUCACUCAUGAAUUACAGAAAGCCGGAGAAGUUCAAGUCGAACGAGUUCAAUCAUGUGACAACUGGCGGAUCUAUUCACCAAGUCGCUUCCAACUUCAACGCUCAAGAAGCUUAUCAAGCAGAUUGGAAUGCGACGGCUUAAAGAUCUUCAGUGAGCUUCAAAUGAGGGGGAGUAAUACGUGUUGUACUCUUUUUCCUUCACCACGGUUUUAUCCCAAUGGGUUUUCCUGGUAAGGUUUUAAUGAGGCAACAUCCCCGAGCGUAUUACUAGCUCACGAAGGUUAUGACAUCCAAAGGGGAGUGUUAUGAAUCAUAGUGGAUUGUCAUAACAAGCCCAUUAAGGCCCGGCCCAUGUCAAGCCCGGUCCGGCCCAAUGUUAUGGAGGUGUAACUAGUAUUAGGGUUUACUUGUAACCUCCUUGUAUGAACCUAUAUAUAUGGCUUUAACCUAAUGAAUAAAGUAUCCCAGUUCCCUCUCUAUUCUCUCUAGUCUAUAACAAGAAAUUAUUUAAGAAUGAGCCUUCAUUUUUUUCUUUUUUUGCUGUGUCAUUUAAGUAAGACAUUUCUUUAUGAUUAAAAAACACGUUUUCCUUGUGUUUAUAACCAAAAAAAAAAAAGGAAUUGGCAAUUUUAGUGACAGCAUAAAUGAAAUCUAGUGAUAAUGCUUAGUUUGGCUGUUAAUAAUACAAUAACUAGAUAAUUCUUGAUUCCCAUAUUUCUUACUGGUAGUAUAUUAUUUUCAUGCUGGUAAAUAUAUACAGAGUACUGUUUUCAAGAUCCAGUUUUUUAAAGUUUAUCGUAUUUGAUAAUUUAAAAAGAAGAGUAAUUAAAAUACUGAUACGAUAGGGUUUUCUGUUACAACCAUAUCGAAUUUGAUUGCCAUAAUACACAUUUACCUAAUAAUGUAUCUUACCAAAUUAGAGUAACGCGUACGUGCAGUGGCAAAAUGUGACAGGACCAAUCACUUUCUUCUAGUAAGACUGACCGUGAAGCUUUCGGUACGCUAGGGACAUCGUCUCACUUGGACUUUCCCACGCCGUAUAUGCCACUCCUAACCUCUAAUGAUGAAUUUUGUUUGGCAUAGAUAGGCUUUAAACAUAUUGUAUUAGGCUUCUUCAUGAACACGUACUGUGUCUCCAUUCUUUUGCAGUUUCAUUCGUCCUCCAUUAGUGAAAUUUUUAUGAUGGUUGAGAUCAACCUAGCUAUCCGAUUUUGGCAUGCUAAUUACUAUCUCUAUCUUGUGUUUGCUUCUUUAUCAUAUUUCAAGUUAUAGGAAUCUAUAGAAAUCACAAAACAACUAGCUCUCCAUCAAGAAGGCUUGAUGAUGGUUAUUAAUCCCUUGUAUAUUAUUUUAUUUUUAUAAUUUUUGAGUGGAAACCACGUAGACGGACCGGUUUGGCCAAUUCAGUUUGAUUUUUGAGUGGAAACCAUAAGAAGAGACUGGAUACUGAAAACGCAUCAGUAUCUCCCAGGAAAAAUUUGCGUUGGGAAGACAUAUCACUUGGAAAUUGCUCAGCCGGUCCUUAAGCGCAAGGAUCCACCCGCUUACAUUUGCAAAUCAAAUCCUUUUUUUUUUUUUUUUUGACAAUUUUAUUGAUAAUGCAUGAUAAAAAAUAAAAAAAGAUUUGUUAAGCGCCUUUCUGUGAUUGGCAGUUCAACAUUCCUAUUUUGUUAGUUAUAAUAUGUAAAUUAAUUAAAUUAUGGAUUCGGAAAAGCCAUCGCGUUCGUUUAUAAAACGUUUCAAUUCAGCAACCUCCUUUGUAAAUUCUCUGUUCUGUAGAGAUUACUUAAGUGUGGUGUGGUGUGUGCUUUUUAGCUAUAGCUUCCGUCUGGUUUGUGCCUCGAUAUCAGAUCUCAGAUUUAUUAUGUAUAUGUUUGCGUUGAUGAUAUUGCCCUAAUUUUGGUAUGUUGUUGAUUUACCGAUUUAAUUGUUUUUAAGGUUUCAACUUUUGUUAUGAAAUUGUAGAUAUUUUUGGAUUGAGAACUCUUUCGCCGGAAUAAUAAUGAUCUUGACUUGGCUAACCGGGAAGCCCAGGAAUGCGAUGUCUAUGCUUCAAAAACCAAUAGACGACCUAAACAAGGUAUAUAUCAUAUACGUUUUGCUGUCAAAUUAAAUCCUUUUUUGAUUUGAUGAUCAGUAUCAUCAUCAAUCUAACAAAUUUUGGCUUUAUUCUUCAUACUAAUUCUCACCUCAAGACCCUCGAGACUCUUAAACAGAAGGAGAAAGUCUACCUCGAGAAGGCUGCCAUAAAGGUUGAGGAAGCAGAAGAACAUCGCCGGGAAAAUAGCAAACACCGUACGACCAAAUUCUUUUGCUUUUUAUAACCACAUGCAUAGAUUGAUAUAUACAAUUACAACACGUACCCGUUAUAUAUAUAUAUAUAUAUGUGUUGCAUGCCUUGUCUUUUUUUACCUUUGCGUUGUCUUAUAUGUGUGUUUUCGACUUGUCGUCAUGCAGGGGUCGUACACUGUUUGAAAAUCAAGGUGAUGUACGAGGGUUUAGCUCAAAAUUUUCGGAAUUUACAGCUGAUGGUACAUGACGAAGUGAGAUUUCUUAAUGUGUUUUUUUUUUCCCUAUAUAGAUCAUUUUAGAUAACAGGGAAUAGUAUACUUUUAAGCCACAGUUGACUGAAUCUAUUAUCACCCUUUUGUUUAACAGUUGAUUUUGAUGGAACGUAUGAAAAAGGAAAUGAUUGAAGCGUUGCAGGCUAAAGAUCUCACAACCAAGAACAAGACUACUUCUGAUCAUGUCUUUAUUUAUAUUUCUUUCCUCGUUUUAGUAUUAACAUACUAUAUUGUAUCCCUUUAUCUAGCUAGGUAGCUCAUAUUAUUGGUCUCUACUCUCUAACUACACUUCGAAUUGUGAUAUGGGAAAGUACAAAUUCCAAUUUUGAGUUAUCCCACCAAUAUGCUUAACUUAUGUUCUUCUGUUCAUCUAUAGAUUGAGACGAUUUUGUCAUGUGUUUUGUUUAGUUGUCGAGACAAGAACAUUUUUUUUUGUGUGUGUCUCUAUCUCUCAUAUAAAGGGGAAUAUGAGUCUUGGAAUUUCUGAUGAUACGCUUCCAUCAAACCACUGAAACAAAGUUUUAUCUUCCAUCAAACAUUAUUUUUACGAAAUUUCAUUUUAACAAAUUAGUAAUAUUAUAACCGGAUCUAGCGGAGAUCAAAUCAGGGCCAUGCAACGUAUCAGGUAGGGUUCGGCCCAAAACACUUACUCCAAUAUUUUAAUUAUAUGGAUUCGGAAAAGCAAUAUAUUCCAUCACACUCAUAAGGGUUCAAUUCCCUUUGUUGUCCAAUAUUCCUCGCCGAUCUGUAGAGAUAGUGAUCGUAUGCCUUUAUAGCUUCCGUCUGGCUUAGUCUAUGCUCCGAUCUCUCAGGACUCAGAUCACAGCUUAAUUUUCUCGAGCUUUAAAAGCAAGUUGACAAAACGCAAAAAGUAUACCCAGUUUAUUGUCUAAACUUUCCCUAGAUUAGCGUAGAUCGUUUUUAGACUAGGAAUCCACGUAUAUAUAUUUGUGUACAUCCCGAGUUGCGUCAUCCAGACCUAAUUUUAAGGUUUUUGAAAAAUUGUUAGGAGAUUUUGAUUGUUUGGGUUAAUUUUUGCAGAGGAUAUCGGCCGGAGUGUACGGUUUCUCUGUCGCCGGUAUGAUGAUGGUGACUUGGCUAGCCGGUAAACCCUGCAAAUCGCUUUCUGAGCUCCAUAAGUCAAUAGUCGUGACAAAGAAGGUAUGUUUUUGAUGUUUUUUGCUUUACUUUUUUGGACCUUAAUUAAGACCUGUGCAUGAUUGUUUCAUCGAGAGCCCUUUUGUUUGAUAAUUAAGGGCCAUACCCUUUUUAAUUAGCCUUCAAACCAAAGUGUCAUCUUGGUCAUGUGCUCACCUUUUUAAAAACAAAUUUUUGAUGUCAGUUAAGUUGAAUUAUUAUUUUUCAGUAUAAAUCUAAUAUAAGUUGGUUUUAUUAACGUGCUCUCUCUGUCUCUCCCUCAAGCACCUUGAGUCCCUUGAACAAUGGGAGAAAGAUUGCCUUGAGAAGGCUGCCAUAAAUCUUGAGAAAGCAAGAGAACAUUGCCGGAAAUAUGACAGAGAUGGUACAACGACGACCAAAUCUUUUGCUUUAUAGUAGCUAAUUAUUACCAUCCAUAUUUAAGGAUCCAUCUAGAACAUGUGUGUUUGCCGUGCGUUGUCUUGCAGAUGCUUUAUACUGUUUGAAAUUGAAGAGGCUACACGAGCGAACAGCUCAAACAUCUAGGAAUUUACAGCUUCCUGUCCGUAUACAAGUGAGAUAUUCUCUAGUGCAUGUUUUGUUUUUUGUACAUCAUUUUUAUAUAUUUACCGAUACAUAUAGUUGAAUUUUAUUAUUAUUAUUAUUAACAUCAAGUUUUCUUUUAAAACAGUUGGUUUCGAUGGAACGUGUGAAAGAUAAAUUGACUGAAGCGAUGCGAGAUAAAGAUCACACAACCAAGAAGACUAUCCAAGUCUUUAUUUAUUUUUCUUUGCUCCUCUUAAUAUUAGCCUACUUUGUAUAAUCUUAAUACACUCGUGGUCUCCAAUAACAGAUAAUUAGGAAACGGAAAUUAUAAAUUGAAUCUUCUCUGUGUUGACAGUAAUGUUCUUAUCUUUUAAUUUAAAUUGCUUAAGAGAAAUCAACGAAAAAACACAUUGAAGAUGAUGAAUUCUAUCGUUGAUGCAUUCAUCAAAGACAUAACGCAAUUUAGGUAUGAAGCCGUAAUAUACGUUUUGUCGCAAAGAAUAAACAUUGAAUACACUACGUAUGAUGGAAAUCAGAACCAAUUUAUGGCUAAUAUGCAGUGUAUGGCAUUGAAUACACUAAAAAGUAUACAUACUGUAUAUGGUCUCGUUUUUGGCAUUUUUUUCAUUUUUAAAAAUAGUCCAAAAAUAAAAGAGUAAGCGGCCCAUAUAAAUAAAAAGAGUAUUGUUUUAUCAUGUGGUUUGGGCCUAAGCGACCCAUUUAAAGUUUACUCAAGUAUCGGUUUCGGACCUUAGAUCGAGAGUUGGGUAACAUGGAUACCGACGAGACCUUGCCACUGAGCCAGCGGUCGGAGUGGUCAGAUGUGGUUCCGUUGACUCAGGACGAUGGUCCGAAUCCGGUGGUGCCGAUCGCCUACAAGGAUGAGUUCCGCGAGACUAUGGAUUACUUCCGUGCGAUCUACUCCUCCGACGAGCGAUCUCCUCGUGCACUUCGACUCACUGAAGAGACGCUCCGCCUAAACUCCGGCAACUACACAGUAAUCAUUAUUUUUUCAGUUUUUUUUUUUAAAUUUCUUUUAUGCUUUGUAUGGUGCUUCUGAUCCCUAAUACUACUGAUCUGAAGUUGGAAUUUGAUUGGAGCAUUAGUAUCUGAACUCUUAUGGUUUUAAUAAUUUGAUGGAUUUCAGCCUUUUAUUAGUUCUUGUUGCAUCAAAAUUCUAAUUCUUAACAAUCUUGUUCUCCCUAAAGAUAAUUUUUUCCCUUUGAAGGUGUGGCAUUUCAGGCGCCUAGUACUUGAGGCGCUUAAUCACGACUUGUAUCAAGAACUCGAGUUCAUCGAAAGCAUUGCUGAGGAUAACUCUAAGAACUACCAAUUGUGGUAAAGUUCAUAGCUUUUUGUCUCUCUUUUUUUGUUUAUACUGUGAAGUUGACUGAUGGAACAAUCUUGAACCAAGAGCUGUAUAUGUUUGCUUUGUAAGACAUAGACUGGAGAAUGUUUUUAGUCUAUAAAUAAGUUUUUACUGAUGGAGGGGGGGGGGGGGGGGGGGGGGGGAUUCAUCAAAAUUGGGAGGCUGCUUUGUAUAUGCCGGGUCAGCUAUUUUCUUAUUCUCCAUCGUGCGUGUUCUUUAUAUUUUUGAUCAAAGUUCGUUCUUUUACACAUUGUUAAGUUCAUAGUGCCACAUGUCUGCUGCUUAAGAAAAGUUAACCCUUUGUUGUGUGUGCUUUGAGUGUGAUGACUGAUGAUCCAUGGUUCCGCUCUAAUUUUUACUUUUCUCUAGGCAUCAUCGGCGAUGGGUUGCUGAGAAACUGGGUCCUGAUGUUGCAGGGAGAGAACUUGAAUUUACCCGGAGAGUACUUUCACUUGAUGCCAAACAUUAUCAUGCUUGGUCACAUAGGCAGGUUUGUAAUCUCAAACCUUGUUAAAGCAUUCACUUGUGGUAUUACAUAUAGUUUUGCUUGAUGUUUGGAAACAAUUUACAGUGGGCACUACGGGCAUUAGGAGGAUGGGAAGAUGAGCUUGAUUACUGCCACGAGCUCCUUGAAGCUGACGUCUUUAACAACUCUGCUUGGAAUCAGGUAAUGUGAUUGUUGAUACACACACCAGUUUCUGUUUCUCGAAUCUAUCAAUUGCCAAUUUAGCCACCCUUUUGAAUUAUUCAUUCCCAUAAUCUGGCAGAGGUAUUAUGUCAUUACUCGAUCUCCUUCAUCGGGAGGCGUAGAAGCCAUGAGGGAAUCUGAAGUAAGCUACACAAUCAAAGCCAUUUUAACUAAUCCUGCAAAUGAGAGCUCAUGGCUAUACCUGAAAGCUCUUUACAAAGACAACAAAGAAUUGUGGAUUAGUGAUCCAAGUGUUUCAUCAGUCUGUUUGAAUGUUCUCUCCCGCACGGAUUGCUUCCAUGGGUUCGCUCUGAGCACCCUUUUGGAUCUUCUAUGUGAGGGACUGAGCCCAACCAAUGAGCAUAUAGACUCAGUGAGAGCUUUAGCUACUGAAGAACCAGAUACUAACUUGGCCAAUUUGGUUUGUACCAUUCUUGGUCGUGUAGAUCCUAUAAGAGCCAACUAUUGGGCAUGGAGGAAGAGCAAGAUUACAGUGGCAGCAAUGUGACGACCCAAAAUCACACUUGAAAAAAAAAUGAUUUUAAUCUUUUCGUAUGUACUGCUUCUUUAUGAAUCACAUGAACAUGUUUUCAUAUAUCAAAACAAUGUCGAGGUCUCUUUCUCCCUUCUAAUUAUAUCGAAAGAAACUUUGUCAACAUUGUCUUUGCAGAACCAACAAUAGAAGAAGACUCAACCCAUUGCUUUUUCGAUAACCGGAACCAAAACCAAAACCGGGUUUUUGGCUCGCGGAUUCCCUAAUUCAACGACAGCAUUUAAUUUGAUCCGAACCAAAAUAAUAAAAAAAAACAAGAAAACAAAAGGGGAAAAACAUCGAAGGCUUGGGAAGUUAAAGUGCUCGAAGUCGGAAGCGUAAUUUGGUCGAAAGAUUCGUUCUUUUCUCCGACAAGAAUGUCCAAAUCUGGGUUUAGUCUGUUCAUCGCUCUUCUUCUAUAUCUCAUGGGUUUCUUACUUCCGUCGAGAGUUUCUGCAAUUAGGUGAUUAAUUUUUGGGUAAUAGCAUUGUUCCUAUGUUUUGCGUAUCCCUCCCUGUUUUGUCUCCCUUGAUUAAUUUCCUUUAGAUUUCAAUUGGAUUUGCAGGAAGGAUAUCGGAUUUUUAGAAGAGCGGAGUUGCAGAACAACUGUCCAAGGAAGAUACUUGAUCUCCGAUGAUGAAGGUCAGUCAUUGCAUAUCCAAUUCACUCUUCAAAGAUCCACCUUUACUACAUUUCAUCUCUGUCGACAUAGACUUGGUCAAAAAUAAUUUUUUUUUUUUUUUUUUACCAUGACUGGGUGUUGUUGCUAUUUGCAGGCAAUGUGUGUGAUGCUCUGUCAUUGGAAUCUCGAACCCGUUGUUGUCCAUGGAAAGGAGAAAGAUUCUCUUGUCAGUGAGUCAUUUUUAAGAGGAUCAUAGCUUUUAAUCAAGGAAUUAUGUUAUUUAUUAGACGAAUGUGUUCUUAAUCAGACUUCUUUGUUUUUAUGGUUUGGCUUGAAGUGGAUGCAACCUCCUUUCACAAUGCUGCAACUCUUAUGAAUUCUGCGUUUCUUGCUGCUUGAAUCCGUCUCGGGUAUCCUAUUUCUGUGGAACCUUUGGUUUUGUCUCUCUCUUCUUGCUUCAUCUUCUUUCUUUUUUAACGCUCAUUAAGUAUCUUCUGCAGACGAUUCUUAAGCAGGUGGUUAAAAUAAAAGUUGCAAAGCCCGCUACAGCAGGUAAAAUUGUCAUUUUAAGGAAGCUUAAAUGUAUUUGGAUUCGCAAGAUGGUAAUUAUCAUUUGAAUUUGCCUAUGAAAAUUUCAGUUUAACGUCAAUUUAUUCAUUAGCAGGGACUUACAAGACUUUAUUUGAUUUUUGUUCCGGGAGGUGCCGCCAUAAUUCUGAGAGUGUGGUAAGUGAUUGAGUGUUUUUUUUUCUGUAGUUUCUUGAGAUUAUGUCAUGAAGUUAUUAGUGUUGAAGAGAAGUUCUAUUUGAGACUGAUGGAAUGUUCACGAGAGUAUAAUGAACCUGAAUAAUUAUACCAUAUAGCAAUUAUGAGCGAGACUUCAUGUAGCUUCUUUUAUUCUUGAAACUUCCAGGUUCAUGAAAAUGCUUACCAUAGCGAGUUUCACCAUUGUUUUUCUCUGAAAUCAAAUGCUUCAGGUGAGCGUCGAUACCCUACUUCUCCUUUCAACUACCUUAUCACAUUCAUCAAAUAACAUUAACUCAAAACAGGAGCUAAUCUCACACAAGUUGAAACCAGACUACUUGGCAUUGACGUUAUCGUGGGAAGGUAAAAAACACCCUUCACCUUUUUACCUGGGUGGAUUGUAUACGCUUUUGUGGAGACCAUAUUCUUUGACUCUUAUUGGAUUGGUUUCACAGUCAAGGAGAUUCAUGCGAUGCAGUUUGCAAGUUACGUGGACAAUUGUGUGUGAUGAAUAAACUCUCACUUCUAAAUCAAUGUGACGUGUAAGUCUCUUCUUAAGCAACUCUUUUACCAGCGUCAGAGUCUCUUAAACCAACCAUCAAGUCAUGUUUCGGAAAUUUUUAUAUAGGUUGAAAACUCGUUAUUUGGUAUUCACAUGAUUCUUUCUCUUCUUCUUUGUUUGCGUAGUAUGAAAAGAUACAUGACCUGCAAAGGGUCGUGUAUAGGAAGUGCCGGGGCUGACCAACCUGCUGAAGUUGUCGAAGGUGCCCCCAGAGAUUUGGUAUUUCAUCAUUUAUUCCUUCAUGGAUCCUCAGUGAAAUAUUUCAUUUCAUUUACAUCGCUUCUCAAGUUCUCCUCACUCAACUUGUGAAUCUUGAUCAUAAACUGAGUAAUUCCAUAUGUGUGUUUAUUUUCUUGGGUUGCAGUAUCCAGGCGCGUGUUUGUAUACCAGGACAGAAUCAAUGCUUUCCUGUGACGGUUCUCACCAACACACCAGACGACUCUGCCCAUGUGCCUAGAAACUAGUCAGUACUAAGAAUUAUACCAAAGCUUUUUCCGCCUCUUGUAGCUGUUUUAGAAUGCUAGUUGAAAACGCUGAUCAUGUAAUUUUCUCAUGGUGAAAGAAAACAUAUUCUUGAUAUAUACAUAUACAUACAUGAAGAUUGACUAAAACGUUUACUUCAUUGAAAACCACAGAAUGAGAGAAAAAGCAUCUGUCGACAUCAAGUGUAACGUGUGUGGCCUACAUUGGGAAUUAACUACAAGGCUACAGAAGCAGCAACGUAUUCGUCAGAUCUUUGUCACACAUUGAUCAUUAUAUGAGGUGCAGCUGUCUCGAACAGAGCCAAAAUCUCAACUUUGUAUUCGUCCAUAAUCUCUCUUCACUAAACCAGCAACAACAUAAAAGAAGGCCUGAGAGUUCGAAGUUGAUUCAGAUUUGAUCUGUCUACGAAUAACUACAUUUGUUUGAUGAGCUUAAGAUAUGCAGAACUUGUCAAAUUUCACAUUGAUCAACAAAGAAAGACUUUUGUUUUUUUAUUCAUCAACUAAUGACUUGACUGUGUUCAUACACCCAUGAUCACAAUGAAAUUGCCGCCAUAGAAGAGAAACCCAAUUUAAUUGAUGAUAUGAUUACAGAGAUUCGUUUAUACUUUCACAAUAUCAGCAAAUCAAUAAAAUAAAAUAAAAAGGAGAAAGACAUUAGAAGGUGUAGUUUGUUUUAAACACUCUUUUGUCUGCUUCGACUGCUGUCUGUUCCUUAGCCACGGCGACACCUCUGUUAAGCUCGUCUUCUGUUUCUCCACUGUUAUCAUCAGUUGCUGCCGCAAAAGCGGGAUGGCUUAAAACGCAUUUGAGAAGCUGCGUUCCUCGCAAGGCGUUAGUGAGGGGUAAGUGUCCUAAAGGCGUAUCAUCAUUAAGCUCCCACUUGAAUUCGUCAGGAAAGGCUCUGUAGCCGUAUUGAACAACCUCUGUAUCAAGAAGCUUCAUCCAUUCAACUUUAACGAAGAAUCUUGUGAAAUCUUUCUUCACUUUUAACCAGAUUUUGCGCUGCACGCUGUAUCCGAAUCUGCCAUCGCUGUGUUUAGUCCAUAGAUUGUCGAUAGCUUGAAGAUCUUCGGUCGAGAUUGAUUUCACCUCGGAGAAGAAAACGUAGCCGCGUUUCACGGCUGCUUCUCCUGCUAUCUGAAUGAGUAAUCUCCGUGUCUCCUCGUCGGCUUGUCGGAAGUUUUGACUGACGAGAUGGUUCUCCAAAACGUCGAAUAUGGUCGCGGUUUCAGCGGUCGCAGCGGAGGCGUUGGUGGUCGAAACAGCGGAGACGGCCGCGGAGGAGGAAGAAGCAGAGCAGAUAAGUGAGAAUGUUGCGGCGGAAGUGGGCUGUUUGAGGGAGAGAGAAGUAGGUGCGAACUGAGAUUGGAGAUUGUGGCGGUGGGGUGUGUAAGGAGAGGAGUGGUGGUGGUGGUGGAGAGAGUUUGUGGUCGCCAUUGAUGGGAGGAGGAGAGAGAGAAGUCACGUCAGGAAGAAGAUAGAGAGAGUGAAGUUGGAGAGUUUAAAGAAGAAGAAGAGAGAAAGAGAGAUAAGGUGUGGAAAAUCAGGAAGUACUAAGCGGGGUCGAUUCUGAUUGGUCACUUUUGGGUCAGGUUUGAUUCUCUUUUUUUCCUCUUUACUUUCAUUUACCAAAAGUUAAAUAAUAAAAAAUCUAGUAAUUCUUUUCACUAAUUUCUGAAAAAAAAUACUAAUUGUUAUCAUAAUAAUAGAUUUGAUUUGAUGGUUACGUCAUUUAUGAUUUUAUCUCGUUAUCGUUAUUGAAUGAAGAGUCUUAUAACCUUUAUAAAUAUAAGAUUUUAAAAACAUACUUUUUUAUUUUUUUAAGAAACUAUUAAAAAUGGAGAAAAAUUGUCAAUAUAUAGAAAUUGGUCAAAUACUUGCAAAAUAAAAAAAGCCAAUAAUGGUCAGAAAUCUGUUAUUUCCACGUCACGUUUGUAAAAUCACAAUGGAUCUAUAUACAAUGGGCCUGUAAUGGGUUUUUUAAGGUUCAUGGGCGCAUUAUCCUUUGAUAUGAAUGCGACACCGUUUUGUGCUGGACAGGAAGGAUCGACAUAGAACUUUGAUGGCGCCAUCUUUGAAGAGCGCAGUCGACGCUAAUGAGCCUUUUAUACAAACAAUUCCUUUUUGAUAUUUCUGUCAGUCACCGGCGCAGUUGUUUCCUUUUUCUAUUUUGAAAUUCGUAAAUCGAGAUUUUGCUUGGCGGGAAUUGUGAGAGAGACGAAGACGAGGUUUUAUUUCCGGAGAUUUGUUUUUUUGGUGUUGCUGAUUCCGACGAUCGGAGUGGAAGGUGUUUGACUUGAUUAGGGCGUGUUUUUGGGGCUGAGGAAUAAUGGGUCGCAGUUCGAAGAAAAAGAAGAAACGAGGAGGUAGCGGGAGAAGGGGUCAGCUCAAGGACCAUGGAUCUAAUGCUGAUGAAGAUAAUGAACUUCUAUCUGAGGAAAUCACUGCUCUGUACGUUUGACCCUUUAAUUUGUGCGGUUUUUAUGAAACAAGUUAUCCACGGCCAUCUGAGAUUUAGGGUUUUUCGAGAUUUGUGUGUUUUUAAGUUUUGAUUUGGAAGGCCUUGAUAGUAGUUGCCAUGAUUGGAAAUUGUGUGAGAAUAAACAGCUGACAAACGAUACCUGAUUUUUGAACUAUGGGAUUUGAAUCAUUUGAUUGUUCAGGUGUUACAGGGGAAUACAAUAGCAAUUUAAUUUGUAAAUGUUGUUAAAGAUGAGCAGUUUUACUUAACACCUGCUUAGAAAUGGACAAGAACUCUAUAUGAAUUUUAUUAGUAAGAAGGACCGGUUUUUGUUUUCAUGUUUUCAGUUCUGCAAUAUUUCAAGAAGACUGCAAAAUUGUUUCAGGUUCGCCAUCGCCUCCUCAAAUAGUUAUUAAACUCAGGUUUUCUUCUUAUCGAUGUGUUCUUCAUUCAAGUUUAUUCUUUCUGGUUUAUGCAUGAAAUGCGUCUGAUCCACCAAGCUCUUGUUAUCGAGCAGGCCUUACUCGAAAGAUAUGGGAUAUGAGGACAUUGACAUCUCUGCUAUGCUUUUAGUGAGGUGAGUAUAUUCACUCUAAAUCUAUGACACUGUAAAUAUGCCGAUCUUUUCAAUAUCUCCUUCUAACCAAUUUGUCCUUCUAGAUGCUUACCAGGAUAUCCUUACAAAUGCCCAAAGCUGCAGAUUACUCCAGAACAAGGGUUAACAACAGCUGAUGCUGAGAAGCUUUUAUCUCUUCUCGAGGACCAGGUAGGUGAUAGGAAUAAUUUUUAUAUUAAUAUUCGUAAGUGCUCUGUACUGACAAAAAGUAAUUGUAUAUUAUGCAGGCAAAUUCCAAUGCUCGUGAAGGUCGGGUUAUGAUAUUCAACUUGGUGGAGGCUGCUCAAGAGUUUUUAUCAGAAAUACUUCCGGAAAGUCAUGAUAAGGAAACUGUAAGUAUAUUCACCCAAAUGACUGUUUAUGCCAUGGUAAUGUAUCCAAUCUAUCAACAGCAUCCUUGUAUAUUGUCAACUGUUGGUAAAAUUGCAUCUCUCUUAAGUUUUCAUUUGUUGUUCGUUCUGUAAAUACAGUGUUAUUAUCUCUUUCUGAAGGUUUCAUGCUUGUCUGCACAUCGAAGCGCUCAGUUCAUUGAGCAACCUAUGCUAUCAAAUAAAGCAAAAUCGUGUUCUGGUGGACCUUUUGUGUAUGGUUUUAUAGACCUAUUUAGUGGCUUGGAAGAUGCUAGGGAUUGGAGUCUAACUCCAGAUGAGAACAGGGGAAUCACAUCUCCAGUACAAUCCCACCCACUAGACACCUCAAGAAUUUUGCAUGAGAAGGACAAGAACCUGAAGCGAUUGGAAGACCAUGCUAAAGAAGAAGCUGUACUGCCUGCUCCCAUUGCCAAACUAAAUACAGUUCAAGAGGAUUACGUUAAUGAUACAAGCAUCUCUUCUUUUGAGUCAAGUAAAUCUAUUGACGAUGUGGAAUCUGGAUUUAUCCAAAAUGAGAAGAAGGUGAGAGGAGGUCUAUCUGUUUUAUCUCAAUCCCUCUUUUUAAAAAUAUUGGGCCUCUGCAUAGUUCUGUCUCUGUAUGGUGGCUGAUGAAUGAACACAACAAAUCAGUUAUUGGUCCUUUACAUAUGAGAUACUCUCCACAAAAAAUCUAACUAGAAUUUAUGUGAAUUGGGAGGUCUACACGUUUUCUGUUGGUUAGAUAGUCUUCAUAAAUACAGUUGAAGAUAACUCGCGUAUAUUGACCAACAAAGCCAGAAUUAAGUAAUUAGAGUCCUUUACCUCCUGUCACGUAUGCAUCUACUUUUGGUUGCUUAAUUUUGUUGUUACUUGCCUAUGCUUGUUUCUCUUAGCAGGAAUCAAAUCUUCAAGAUGAUACAGCUGAAGAUGACAGCAGUAACUCUGAAAGUGAGUCGCUGGGUUCAUGGUCCUCUGAUUCCUUAGCUCAAGAUCAAGUGCCUCAAAUUAGCAAGAAAGAUCUGUUGAUGGUCCAUUUACUUAGAGUAGCUUGCACUUCCAGAGGACCUUUGGCUGAUGCAUUUCCUCAGAUAACUGAUGAACUGCAUCAGCUUGGUGUAAGUCUUUUGGAUAACUUAAAUUUUCAAUAUUUUUUCUCUAUUAAUGGAAGCUUAUUCAUUUUCCCCCCAAAACCCUGCUAAAUAGUAGUCUUUUUUUACAAACCAUUACAGCUAUUGUCUGAAGAAGUGUUGGAUUUAGCUUCCAAAUCAUCUCCAGACUUUGAUAGAACCUUUGAACAUGUAUUCAAUCAAAACAUGGUAUGUAUCCCUUAUCACACUUCAUCAGUAUUAUUUCUUUAUUUGAGUUUAUCUGAUUAAUGUUAUCUUUUAAGGCCUCAACCAGAGUUCCUCAGUUUUGGGAGCCACCUUCUGAUUUUGGCGAGCCAAAUGCCUCACUCCCAAGCUCACGGUAUCUCAAUGAUUUCGAAGAGUUGAAACCCCUUGGUAUAUUCUCGAUUAUGCUUUUCUUUCUAUUUCUAGUUUUAAAUGUAGAUAUAUGUAUGAAAAAUAUGAUGUUAACUCCCUCUGUGAACUUGAUCAAGUUCAGCAGUGUCUUUGCUCAACGGUUUACAAGAUGUUAUUCAUUAGUUUUUUAGAUGCGUCUGAACUUCUGCAGAAUUUUUUACGCUUUCUUAACAUAUUGUUCUGCAGUUUUGUAUAGUGUAAGUAGUUUUCCUUCUCUCUGUUGAAACUCUUUGUUGGCAGGCCAAGGUGGAUUCGGCCGCGUUGUCUUGUGCAAAAAUAAACUGGAUGGAAGACAAUAUGCAAUGAAGAAAAUUCGACUGAAGGACAAAGAGAUACCUGUCAACAACCGGAUACAGCGGUAAUUGAGAAGACUGUUUAAAUAAUAAUUUUUAUUUAUAUCUAUUGGUUUAGAAUAUGAUGCUAAAAUUGUUUCUACAUGUGCUCUUAAUGAGGUAUUCAGAGAAGUGGCAACACUUUCACGUUUGCAGCAUCAGCAUGUUGUACGUUACUAUCAGGUAAAGGUCCCUUCUGCUCAUCUGAAUUUUGUACUGAUUAAGGACUAUAUUCAGUGAGAUGUAUUGAUAUUGAAUACCACCUCGUGUCAUCUUGUUGUCAUAGAAUUUCCGCUGCUUAGUGCUAUUCUUUUUGCCUAUGUUAUGUUUGUUAACGUUAUUAAUUUUCAUGAGAUAGGCCUGGUUCGAAACAGGAGUUGCUGAUCCUUAUGCUGGUGCGAAUUGGGGAUCAAAAACUGCAGGGAGUUCAAUGUUCAGUUACUCGGGUGCAGUGUCAACUGAAAUUCCUGAGCAGGACAGUAAGCUUGAGUCAACUUAUCUAUAUAUUCAAAUGGAAUAUUGUCCCAGGUAAAGAGUUUAUAAUCCCAAUCUAAACUCUUAUAAUUUCCACCCAUAUCCUGAGCUUUUGAAACCCAGAUAAAUCAUUGGUUUUACUUAAUUUACAUUGAUUUUUGACAUUGUGAGCUAUGAGUCAUUGCUAAGUUCCUCAGAUUCUGACGCUUAAUCACAUAUAUUAGUGGUCGAACAAAUAUAUAUGCAAAGUAAAAUGAUUGAAAUGUCCUAUAUUUCCAUAAAUUUGCGGAUCAAUAUCAUCUUGAUCUUUAUAUCCCUUUUUUUUGGGUAGUCUAGCUUUGGUUGCUUUCUUGUUUCUCUUCUUACCUUUUCUGUUCAUAUAAUGUUCAAGGACUCUCCGCCAGGUUUUUGAAUCAUAUAAUCACUUCGACAAAGAUUUUGCGUGGCAUUUAAGUCGCCAAAUUGUAGAAGGCUUAGCUCAUAUCCAUGGACAAGGAAUAAUUCAUCGUGAUUUUACACCAAACAAUAUAUUCUUUGACGCCCGGAAUGAUAUCAAAAUUGGGGAUUUUGGUCUUGGUAUGCUUCCCUACCUAAUGUUAUUCGUUGCUUUAAUUUCUUGGUAUAUCUGUUGUCCGCAUGCUUCUCUGUAUUAGACUUAAAGCUCUCUAAUAAUGUAACAAAAGUUUACUAUGUUGUUCAAGUCUUUGAAUAAAAGAAUCAACCUAGCCGUCUCAUUAUUCAACUGUGGUGUGGAAACAAAAAACAAAAUUACAUGCAUUUUCUUACCUUAUCAGCAAAGUUCUUGAAGCUGGAACAGUUGGAUCAAGAUGGGGGUUUCUCUACGGAUGUGGCUGGAAGUGGGGUUGAUAGUACUGGUCAAGCUGGUACGUACUUUUACACAGCACCUGAAAUUGAGCAAGGUUGGCCUAAGAUUGAUGAAAAGGUUAGUAUCUGUUGGUGCCUGCGCUGAGUUUUAUCCAGAAAUUUCUUGUAUCUAUUUCGUCUUAUGUCUGUGUUUCUAAAUGAUGUUUCAUUGUUUUGAAUUGUAGGCCGACAUGUAUAGCUUAGGGGUUGUGUUCUUCGAGCUUUGGCACCCUUUUGGAACCGCCAUGGAGAGACACAUUACUUUAACUAAUCUGAAGCUGAAAGGAGAACUACCUCUCAAAUGGGUAAAUGAAUUUCCCGAACAGGCUUCUCUACUGCGGCGUUUAAUGUCUCCAAGUCCAUCUGAUCGUCCCUCUGCCACAGAACUUCUUCAGCAUGAAUUUCCCCCCAGAAUGGAAUCUGAGUUACUAGAUAGUGAGUUCUUUGCAGUCCUCGAUUUAAGUCAACAUAAAACGAACAUUCUUUGCUGGUUGGGGUUUUCAUCUGAUCUGUGAUGUUUUUCUACUAUGGCUAACAAUCCAUCGUCUUGUGUUGUUUCCAUUUCCAAUUGGUUCACUGACUGUUUACAUUUGCCAUUAAUUCGGAUAUUUGUCUGUUUAGGUCAUUCGCUCGUAAAGCAUACAAAUUAGUCGAGUUGCUGUCCUCUUUUCCUAAUGUUUUUCAUAUGGCAUCAAGUAACCCCUUUCUUUUCUGGAUUUCAGAUAUUUUAAGAAUAAUGCAAACUUCUGAAGAUUCAAGUGUUUAUGAUAGAGUAGUAAAUGUGAUAUUUGAUGAAGAAGUACUAGAGACGAAAUUCCAUCAGUCUAGUAGAGCAACACUAUGUGCAGAUGAUAGUUAUGUUCAAUACACAGAGAUGGAUACAGAGCUUCGUGAUUACGUUGUUGAAAUCACAAAGGAAGUCUUUAGGCAGCAUUGUGCGAAACAUCUAGAGGUCAACCCAAUGCGUUUACUUGGUGAUUGUCCCCAAUUUAGCAGGUAUUCUUGUUUACUUCUUGCUCUCCGUUAUCUCUCAUUCAAACUAGAUUUUGAUCUAACUUUUAUCUUCCCUGUAAAGGAAAACUGUAAAACUUUUGACCAAUGGAGGAGAUAUUCUUGAACUAUGCUAUGAGCUACGACUGCCUUUUGUGCAUUGGAUUAACAUAAAUCAGGUCCGGUUUAUAUUGUUCUUCUGUUUCUUGCUCAUAUAAUUGGUACGACUUUGUAUUUGAGAUCUUCUCUGUUGAGUUUAGAGUCAGUUGGUGAUUAGGUUUAGAGGAACAGAUCCAGGAUGUUGAAUUAAGAAUACUUUUAAUUUUUUGAAGAGACUUAUAGCGUACUGUUACCUCACUUAAAAACAAUUGAAACGAUUUGAAUUUGGAGCAAGUCAUAGUUUCCUUAACAUGAAAUAUUUGGUUUUUCAUUUUUGGUUUAUUUAGCUAAUUUUGGCGCACUGCAAUUUUGCAAUGCAGAAAUCCUCAUUCAAGCGAUAUGAAAUAUCUCAUGUCUACAGGAGAGCAAUUGGCCAUUCCCCACCAAAUCCAUGUCUUCAGGUAUUGUGCUCACACACUCUGCUAAGAUAAAUGCUGGCUGUCCAUUUUACCAUUUAUUUUUCUCUGUGAUUAAGGGCAUGUGCUUAUAAAUGUUUUGAUUGCCAAUAGGCGGACUUUGACAUUGUUGGAGGCACACCAUCCCUGACGGAGGCAGAAGUUCUCAAGGUACCAGACCCAAAGAUGCUUGGCCUUAUCGAAAUCCUUUAUCAUUUAUUCACGAUACAAAUGAAAUGAAUCUUCUUUUUUUAUAAUGUGUUAUUGAUCAUUACAUGGUUUAAAAGUCACACUGCCAACUUUUGGAGGAAAUGUAGUGAGUGUUGUGAUAGUGUUUCUGGUAAACUAACGUGUACAGUGAACAAUUAUUUGCUUAUUCAACCUUAUGCAUUUUGCUACAGAAAUUUUGCAUCUCCGGCAACGUUUUAAUCCAUUAACUUUGCAGGUGAUAGUGGACAUCACAACCCAUAUAUUUCAUCGCGGCUCUUGUGACAUUCAUUUGAAUCAUGGUGAUUUGCUAGAUGCGAUUUGGUCCUGGGCAGGAAUUAAGGCAGAACAUAGACGAAAGGUUGCAGAGGUAUGGUUAUUGUUAGUUCAAAGGGUCAUUGUAUCAAUUGGUUUUUAUCAGUAUCUUGACCAAAUUCUUUUUCCUGUUUUCCAAUUGAAGCUCCUUUCCAUGAUGGGAUCCUUGCGUCCUCAGUCAUCUGAGCGGAAGCUAAAAUGGGUUUUCAUAAGGCGUCAACUUCUGCAGGUUUGAGGCGACACAAUAACCUAUGUGUGGUUGGCAAUUAUAGUCGUAACAUAUCACAUAUCAAUAGUAUAGUUUUCUAUGUCUUACUCGGAAUCUCCUGCUUACCAGGAGUUGAAGUUACCUGAAGCUGUUGUCAAUCGACUGCAGACUGUUGCUUCAAGGUUUUGUGGAGCUGCAGAUCAAGCUCUUCCUCGUUUAAGAGGGGCUCUGCGUGCUGGUACGAUCUAAUCUUCUCUCUCCCUAAACUUUUAUACCAGAUUGUUAUUGGUUUCAAUUUGCUGCAGAUAGACCUACACGUAAAGCACUAGAUGAGUUGUCAAACCUCUUAACCUACCUGAGAGUCUGGAGGAUAGAAGAGCAUGUUCAUAUUGAUGUUCUGAUGCCACCUACUGAAAGUUAUCACCGGAAUUUGUUUUUUCAGGUACAAGUGAAUAUGGGGAUUUUUUCGGUCUUUGUUAGGCUUUUGGAUGUUUAAUAGCUUAAUGUGUUGCUUAUAAUGAUUGUUAUGCUUAUUCGGGUAACUGGUGAAGAGAUGGGUUCUUCAUAGAGGAAUAGUUGAUGUUAGCUUGUUGUUGAUUCUGAUUAGAGUUCUUCAUAUAAGAGGAACCAAAAAGUUUGAAAUUUAUUCUCAUAUAAUUAGCUCUUCAAAGGGAAAACCCUGUUUAUCAGUAGACUGUUGGAGCAUGCAGUAUUAUAUCAUACUUUCUACAAAAUAAUUUGUUAUGGUGAUUGUAUGUUUAAUUUCUGUGUACUCCAUACAACUUUUGGCCAGGUUUUCUUAACCAAAGAAAAUAGCUCUGGGACAUCUAAUGAUGGUGUUUUACUUGCUGUUGGUGGUCGUUAUGAUUUUUUGGUGCAGGAAGUGUGUGAUCGUGAAUAUGUAAGUUAUUUCCACAUAUUUUCAUCUUGCAUGGAGGGAAGUUAAGCUAUCUAGCAUUUAUUAUGAUUUCUAAUGUGAAGAAGAAAAUUGAAGGCUUUUGCCUCUUUAUCCACGUUAAAGAUACUUGGUUUGGUCUCAGUGUAUGAACACUAAAACGAGAAGCGAAAUUGAUCUUUAUCCUCUUAUCCACUGGUAUUACUGUGAAAUAGUAAAACAAGGUUUUGUGUUUUUUUUUUGUCAUUCAUUGGAUCCAGAAAAUGAAUCUCCCUGGCGCUGUUGGCGUUAGUCUUGCACUGGAGACAAUAUUUCAGCAUCUUCCUAUGGAUCUAAGGCCUAUUAGGUUUGUUGUACCUUCUGAAUCCCUUUCAUGAUCUAAAAUGGAAACACCUAGGCUGAUAUGCAUUGAACUUGCAGAAAUGAAGUCAGCACCAGUGUACUUGUUUGCUCAAGAGGAGGUGGUGGAUUACUGGUCCAACGCAUGGAGCUAGUUGCGGAACUAUGGGAAAAAAGUAUUAAGGUGAAAGCUUGAAUAUGUUUUGUUCAUAGAUUUGUUAGGAUAUUUUAUCAUUUGUGUUACAUCUAGUAACAUGUCCGUGUAUGUAUUGUGGUAGGCUGAGUUUGUUCCAACACCUGAUCCAAGUCUUACAGAGCAGUAUGAAUAUGCAAACGAGCAUGAAAUCAAAUGUCUGGUGAUCAUCACAGAGUCUGGAGUGGCUGAAAGACAAAUAGAGUUUGUAAAGGUAAUAAAAAAUAUAGCAUUUUUUUUAAGUAUUGAAGAAAUCCUCGACAAUGACCCCGAAAAUUUGUGAUUUGUAGGUUCGGCACCUUGAAUUGAAGAGGGAGAAAGUGGUAGAAAGAGAACAACUUGUCAGAUUUCUUGUGAGUGCAAUGGCUGUCCAAUUUAGAAACCCCUCUGUUUGGAGCUAAAGAGUUGUAAAGUUAGAGCCACUUUUGUUUCCCACUUUGUGCUUUGCAAAAUUACUAUUUUGUCACUCGAGUCACAAAUUUUGAUCAUUUACAUACAAUCUAUUCUUUCUUUUUGGGUAAAAAUAGAAUUACAAAUAUCCUUAUGUGCAUUUAUACAUAUAUAUAUAUAUUAUAUUGGUAUCGUUUAUAUUCAUCUGCAUUUCCAAAAGUAAAACCUCAUUCAAUGAAUAAAUUAUCUCCUCCUCCAUGUAGAUUGUUCAAUUGUUCGGAACAAUAAAGGCAUAAUCACAAAUCAAAGAUUAAUAAAUUCUUCUUGAAAUGAUUGAAGCAAAGAGCCCGUAUAGCUCAGUGGUAGAGCGUCAGUCUUGUAAACUGAAGGUCCGUAGUUCGAUCCUGCGUGUGGGCACUUUUUUUAUUAUAUAUUUUACCUUUUCCUUUUAAGUUUUUAUUACUUGUUGUUUUUUAUUUGUUAACUUUGUUCAGUGCAAACAAACAUUAGCCUAUUGAGGACGACUCCAGGACUCCAGGGGAGGUCAUUUACAAAAGAACUUAGUAAUAAUUAGUUACGGAAAAUUUCAUACAUUCUUCCUUGGAGAGAGUCUCUCUGCCUCUUUGUUACAUUCCUGCCUUAUGGAACACAUUAUACAUACAUCAGAGUAAACUAAAUAUCUUAUACAUGUCAUUGUUACUAAAAACUUCAGAAAAUCACUUUUCUUCAGAAAUUAUGAUGCAAGAAUAAGCUCUGUCCGGGAGAUGCUGGCCCUAUCUCUUCCUCAAGACUCCUCAACACUUCUUGUUGUUUCCUCCCUUCAUCUUCCUCCUCCGCUACAUCUUCUUCAGAUGCCGAUGAUUUCCUCCUCUGCGAUGAUGUCACACUUGGGAAAGUUAUCCAUGACCCGCCUCUAAAUUCCGUGUUCUCGGAACCAGACCUUUUUGAACCGAUCCUCCAUGAUUUCUUAUGCAUUCUACUGCUCCCAAGCACUACUUCAGUUGGUAAUAUUGGCUGCUCGCUGCUCGGGUUUCCCAUUAGCUGUGCAAGCGCUCGUUCCAAUGCUGUUGUCACUUUAUCCAUCGAUGGUCUAUCUUUCCCUCUCAUCCUCACGCAUUUGCAAGCCACACUCACGAUUCUUUUCAAAGCUUCGAUUUCAGAUGGAUGUUUCAAGACCGGGUCCAAGAGUGCGUUUAUAUCUCCUGCUUUGAUCAAAGAAACUGCCCAUUCUACUAUGUUCCCUUCUUCGUAGUGCAUGUCUAUGGCUUUUCUUCCGCUUAGGAUUUCGAGAAGCAGGACUCCAAAGCUGUAGACAUCAGAUUUUGUUGUGAGAUAGUGCAGUCGGUAGUACUCGGGAUCAAGGUAACCGAGAGUUCCUGCUGGUAGUUCUGCCAAAGGAGAGCCACUAUCGACAGGACCAAGUAAGGAGAGACCAAAAUCAGCUACUCGAGCAUUGUGUUCUUCAUCUAUAAGGAUGUUUGAUGAUUUAAUAUCCCGGUGAAUCACUGGAGGGCAGGCAUAACCAUGCAAGUAUUCGAUUCCUCUAGCAGCUUGCACAGCAAUCGUUACUCGUUUGACCCAAUCUAGUUGUUCUUUCAAGGCCUUGUUCUUUCCAUGAAGAUGGUUGUGCAGUGAGCCGUGAGCCAUAAACUCAUAAACCAGAAGCCUUUCUCCACCUUCUUCGCAGUAUCCGAGAAGGCUGAGAAGAUGAGCAUGGUUGAGUCUUGAUAAAAGAUCCAGCUCCGUGCGAAACUCAUUCGAAUUCUUCUGUACGUCUGAUGACAUUAUUGCUUUCUUUACCGCAACAGUAGUUCCAUCUCUCAGUACUCCUUUGUACACACAUGAGAAACUCCCUUUCCCCACUAUUGAUUCCUCUUUGAAUCCAUCAGCAGCCUUUUCAAGUUCCUCAUAAGUGAAAACUCGAGCCCUUCUGCGCUUUUGCAGCUCAUCAAGAUCAGGACGGAUUUUGCCAUUAUCUUUCGUAAAGGCUGAAUCUUUAGAAGACCUUGCAUCAUUUUCUGAGCACCUACAAUGCCUCAAUCUGUACCGAAUGUACAAAGCGGCUGUUAUAGAGACAACUGCUAUCAAAAACAGAGCAAAGCCAAUCUCUGCAGUUGCAAUAGGUAACUGCAGUGACCAAAAUCUUCCUCUUGCCUUGCCCCCACUGGUAGACGCAGAAGAACAGUUUGAGGAGCAUUCAGAUGAGAAGCAACUUGAGCAGUUAUAACCACAAACCUGAUCAGAUCUCUCUGUGCAUUCGCUUUUCUGAUACAUUUCAGGAGGACAAUUAGCACUACAUGGCAAGCAAAUAUGAGAGCCAGGAACUUUGCAAGGCGACUUGUCUUGGUUACUGAGUUCAUGAGUUCCUGGUGGACAAGGAGUGUCUAUACAGAGUCCUGGUGAGACAGCUAAAGGGAUAGAAGCAGGGAAACCAAGACCCCAACAAACAGGUGACAUAGAAGUUCCUGAAAGAACUCCGCAAGUAAAGUAAUUCCCUGCUGCAAGAUCAUAAAAGCCUACACCUUUAGGAGCAGGUGUACUCCGAUUAACGAAAAACCCCCAGCAAACCGCACUAUGAUCAUAGCGUUUGAUCCCACAGGCAUACAACUUUCCACCAACCACUGUCAAGAGUGGCUCUUUUGGUGGUAAAUCAAGAAUCUCUUCUCCCGUGGAAGUCCCUGAGAUCUCUUCUUCGAACUCAAAGCUCUUUCCCCAACAGAGCACUCGUGAAUCCAACCCGUCAAUAAUGCCACAGACAUGGUAUCCACCAGCUGCAAUUUUCUGAAACUUUGUUUCCUUUGGGAUUAAGCUGAUUACUUGGCUGUUAUUCUCGUCGCCCCAACAGAAAACAGACUUAUCUUUAGAGGACAACCCACAGUUGAACUCCGCACCAGCCGAGAGCGAAUGUAUCUGCUUAUCAAAGACAAAGUUUCUGGUCAUAUUGUAUCCCCAACAAUCAACAAGGGAAGACGAAGAUAUGUUGCUGCUCUUUCUUCUUCCCACUGUUGGCUUCCUUAAACCACAGAGAUGGUAAUCACCAGCACUAACUUCCAAGUAUUCAGCUCCUUUGAUCAUUGGUUGAGGAACUCCCAUCUGAAUAAAUGCACUGUUUCCCCAACAAUACGGCUGAUAAGAUUGCAUAAGAAGCCCACACAUAAACCCAUCUCCACCUGUUAAACCGAUGAACUGGAAAUGAGCAGGAGUCCCAUAGAGGAUCGCUGAGUUUGAUCCGUAGCAAACCACAAGAUGAGACCCAUCAGAUUUCAGACCACAGAAUACAGAACCUCCUUCUCCAUAGGAAAUUGCAAUUGAAGACAUUGAACCAAGAGCUGAAGCAAGCUGCCAUAUACUAGUGAAAAGCACAAGCUUUAUAAGGAGUAUACAUUCCCUUUCUCUCCUCCUUUCCAACAUUCUCAUUCUACACACAAACCAAAAGCUUCUUUUCAAAGUCAACCCACACGCUUCUUAGCUACUGCGUUCACACUUUCUCAGACAUUCCAUAGAUUGACUAAGAGUGUGACUUUUGAUUGGCAAAUAGCAAACGAGUCGCAAGAAGUUCACAAAAUAGUGAGACCUUUCUGUAGGACGAAUCUGCAAUCAAGGGCAUGCAACAUCUAAAAGAAAAGAAUUUUUUUCUAGCAAUGAGAGCUGAACUAGUGUCGAAGAAACAAAGGAGCCAGCAGCAAGACAGUCUCCGACGAUUAAGGAAAGAAUCUUGAAGUGGAAAUUCAGACAACCAUGUCAAAGAAGGACCUCUUGUCUCUCUGUUCUUCUGCAACGAAAGCAAAAACACUUACCCCUUUCAGAUCUCAGACCGCAAGGUAACAACAUCAUAACAUCCUCAAAGACCCUUUAAAGCUAAGCUUCUCCAAAAUUUUCCAACUUUUUUGCGUAUUAUUGGCGACUAAAGAAGUGUAGAAAUAGGAAUUGAGUGGUGAAAGUAGAAGCUAGAGUAAUACAUUCAGCAGUAGCUCAUGAAAAUCUUGAGAGAGAGAAGAGAGAGACAUGGAGCUUAUUAUCACAGAGAGUCAUGUAGUACUGAGAUGGCAUUAAAUGCGACCAAAACUGCUGCUUCUGAAUAAUGGCAAAUGUAGGUGACGCCAUUAAAUAUAAAGAGUUAAUGUUACCAAAUUUUCUCUUCUUGCUUUCUCGUUUUACAUUUUUUUUUAUUCGAAUUUUUCCCCAAUCUUCCCAAAUUUGUGCAAUCUAACCCAAAAAGUUUUAUGUAAAGUUUCCAUAUCUAUGCACAUUGGAGUUAACACACACGAAUUAAGGAAGGAGACAUAUACUAUUCCUUCAAAGCUUCCUUUUUUCAAUAGUCAAUAUUUCUAAUGGGGGUGUUUUUACUUGCGCCGUUGCCGUCGGUGUUUGGUUUCGAGCAAACCAAAACAUUGAGAUCAAUCUCUCUAUACUUAUAAAUAUACAAAAUAGUAAAGUAAAUGGUGUUUGUGAGGUUUCAUGCACUUAAUUUUUGGUUCAACUCUGUCUCUCGAGACGCGAGACACAAACAUCCUCUUUUGUCUUCUUCCUCUUCAUCUCCUUGUGCACCCCCCAAAAGAAAUGUUUUGUCCUCUUUAGACUCAAUAUUUCAAACACACACAAGAUACCCCCUAUUUCUCUCUUCCUCACUUUACAAGACACCACAUUGAAACUCUUAUGUUGACACUUAAUUCAUAUGCUCUUCUAGAGUUGAAUUCUGAAGCUGUUGACUUGAGUGUCUCAAGACUCAUCAAGGCCUUACUGAUUCUAAAUUCAUACACUCAACUAACUUAUAUGGUUCAGAUUCAAAGAAUAAGAACUAGCCAGUCACGUGCCACUCACAUGCUAACGAAACGGGCUCAUAUUAAUACAUUGCAAACCUGAGACGCACAAAGCCUACAUGGUACUUUGGGCAUAAGAUUCACUAUAACUUAUAGGGCAUAAGGAGAUUCUUUCAUUAGCACUACAUGGUAGGUAUACAUGGAUGUUACUCCUUAACAUGUUUCACUCCCUUACAGUCAGGCCUUUGCUUCUACUCAACAACACGGUGUAUGCAACAUUGCUCUGGAAGCUUAAUCUCCAACAUUGGUCUAUGAAUGAUGUGUACACCAACAUAGAAUUGCGUUUACAGCAUUGGUACAGACGAAACCAAAAAGAAUUGCAUACUGACCUAAAACUGACUUCUCCCUAGGUCACUGGCUCACUGCAAAAUCCUUAAGUAAUAAUCGAUCCAAUGCCUUUCAUGGAAUCUCCAUGUACUUGAUGGCCUAAGUUCAAGCCAACAACCAAAAAUUACUUUUCAUAUAUGACUUCUUUAUUUUAUGCAGUAUCAUUCGUAUGCUUACAGAGGGAUCACAAAACCAUACCUCAGAAAAAAGAUGCAGAAGAAACCUCUUGGUCAGAGGAAGGCCAUUUCUUCUUGACUAUCUCUACAUCAUGUAUAUAGCCAUUCUCCUAUUACUUGAACAAUUAUUAUACAAUAUAAUGGAUGCUUCUUCACAUCAAACAAGUCACUCUGGCCGCGCCUGCUCACUUAAAACUUCACUCUUUUCCUGCCAAGGAAGAAACAACGCAUAGGAUAAGGCAACUAUUGUGUUUUUUGCUUGUAGCAAAUAGAUUCGAAUGGAGAUGUUCUACCUGCUCCUCAGUAUUUGGUGGCAGACAGUUCUUGCCUCCAUUACACCGGAACUUAAAUGAAUCAGAAUAACAAGUGGACUCUCUAUCGAUGAUGAACUCUGGAGAAGAGAUGGUUGAGGAUCUACUGGUCUUACGAGGAGAGCACAGCGGGUUUAAAUGAUAAGCCUCUGCUUCUGAUGAUGAUAGUUCAGAACCAGCUCCCCGUGGACAUAUAAAAGUACUAGAGUUUCCGACCUUGUGAAAAGUUUCCAUGGAUGGAUUUCCAAGAGUUUCAAUAAGAAGAUCACCAGGUGGAUGUUUCUGUUCUGAAGCAACCAUAACUAAAUCGCUUGUUAACUUCUUCUCAGAAGGAAUGGCACAGUCCAAGUCAACUGGAUUUACACAGCAGCUUUUGCUAUACGAUUCAACACAAGAUGAUACAAUCUGGCCAGGUACUGACGAAUUGGGUAUGGACAUGUUAAUCCCUUUAUUUUCCUUGCAAGUGUCUGAGCCCUCUUUAAUUCUGCUGCAUUGUUCUAUAGCAGAUGACGCUAGAGACCGUUCACCAUUGGAAUGAUGAUCAGCAGGUAACUGAGUAUUGUCUUUCAUUGUCGGACUUACACAUGAUUCUCUUCUUACAUCUUGCCCUGAACUCUUCUGUUUCUUACACUCUGUAUCACUGUUAAUGCCAAGAUCAGAUUGUGGGGAUUUUCUGCGACGCAUGCUAUCACAUACAUUGACCUCAUCCCUCAUGCUAUUAAUCCAAUCUGAUGGAUUGAAAUUUAGAUCAACUGAAAGGCUAAUACCCUCUUCCAAACUGACAUGAAACUCAAACGAAGACGAACUAGCACUAUCACCACUGUCUACAUCUCUCAUUCUAUUUUCUAGCCGAGACUCUGUUCUCUUGGAGUUUUCUGUUGGGCCCUUUUCAUUCAAUUUCCUCAUAUACGGAGGGGUGCAUGCAGAAUCAAUCAAACCACCAUUUCCAUUUCUUUCCUGCAUUUCCACAGAAACAUUUAAGAGACGUUAGAAGUUGGCCAGUAAAAGAGUGGCUGAGUAGUAAGGAAUGUAAAUAAAGCACAAAAAGAUAGAUGCACCUAUAUCAAUAAAUUUCUUUGAGAAGCUAUCCUAUAUUAUAACAAUAUAACUCUUGUAUCAUCUUAUCACCUAUAUCAAUAAAUUUCUUUGAGAAGCUAUCCUAUAUUAUAACAAUAUAACUCUUGUAUCAUCUUAUCACGCAUUUUAUCAAGUCUUUCAAGGAAAAACCAACAAAGUGAAAACUACUGCUGACUUAUCCAAACAAUUGUAAGCCGGCCCUCACUUUCAUUCAAAUAGAUACUUCCAAAAACAAAGUGAACCAAACCUGAUACGGUGUAUUGUCCCCAAUCAUAAAGCCUGGUCUCCUAGCCACCUCACCUUGAACACAAUCCACUCUAGUUUUAUCCAAUUCUUUACCAUAAGAAUCUGCAGUAACAUAUAGUCUUGAUAAUGGAAAUAAUAAAAUGAGACAAGAAAAAAACUUAAAGCCAACAGAGAAGAAUUCACCAAACCUCUUUUAACAUCCCAUGUUCUAUCCGUUGGUGCUCUAGACGUCGUAGCUACACUAUGUUGAUUCCCAGGGACCCCAAAGCCUACCGCGUUCAAACUAUUUUUCUGCAAUAGUUAGAUACAACAACGCAUGAUUAGCUGCCCAACAAGGGAAAAUCGUAAGGAGAAACAACAAGACAUGUGACAAUAUUAAUGAUUACAAACAAGGUAUGAAUAUGCAAAUUAAUGAUUUCAGAUUAUAACUUCAAGCUACAAGUUUAUUUCCUCAUACACUAACAAAGAGCAGCUCAAAUACCUCGAAAUAAGAAGCUAAUGAUUCAGCCAUAUCCGAACUUGAUCUAUUGGCCGGCAAAUUAUACUUCUUGCACAAACUCUGAAGCUCUUUCCUUGAAAACCCGCAAUAGAAAUCCACAUCUUCCUUCGUGACCAUCUGUUACCGUUACACAAAAAAGGUUUCAAAAAGAGUAACACACACUCAUUAUUAGGAACACCAACACAGAGAAAGGCCAAAGUAGUGACCUUUACAUUCCCAACGGUCACAAAUUUGAAGCAAAUAUAAAACAAUAGAUUUUCCCGAAGUGGACCAACGAAUAGAAGCUACAACAUAAUUCAAGAACCAGUUUCAGCUGCAAGAGAAGAGACUAAGAAGAUAUAAAAGACAGAAAUUUGACAAAAAGAGAAUGCUUCCUAUUACAGAACAUCAAAACCUAAGGAGACUAAAGACUGACAGGGACACAAUCGAGUUAAAUCCCAUUUAGAUCGAAAGCACAUGAGAUUUCUUAAGGAAAAUACGGCGAAAAAUUCUUGGAGGAAGCUUUAAUGGGGGGGAUAGUAUGACUAUUACCUGCUGAUCGAGUGCUUUUUCCGGGAAUUUUGCCGAGAAAUUGUGAGAAAAUUUUCUGGGAAAAACAAAAUAAAAGAAGUACCGAGUUCGAAAUCUGCAGGGACCGAAGCAGACAGAACGAGCCCACUUUUGAGGAGCUGUGUCUUCUUCAAAUCUGGUCAUCAAAAAUUAUUUUUAGAGUUAUGGAUUUAUGGGCCUACUUCAAGCCCAUUUAUUUUUCAUAGCUCAUCAACUUAUACAUCAACGUUUGGUAAUGGUUUAGUCAUUCAUAUCCAAAACAGAGAGUGAGAUAUUUUACACGAAUCCUCGAAAAUACUGUAUUUGUAAAAUAUAUUUUGAGUAAGUAUAGCUCAUAUUAUUAUUUUAUUUUUUUGGAUUAGUCCUCAAUGAUGUUUAAUUAGCUGUGGAAGUGUAUAUAAUAAUAAUUAUAAUUAGCUGUGGAAGUGUAUAUAAUAAUAAUUAUAAUUAGCUGUGGAAGUGUAUACAAUACUAACUGAAGGAUCAUGAGUAGUAGUGGAUGAAAUUGGAUGAGCUGGAAGACAACCAUAACACGAGUGAAGUGUCGUUGGAUCCCGUUACAGGUUUACACACACCCCCGUCAGAAUCUACAUAAUAUUGUAAUACCCCCACUAAACCCCUAAUAAUAAUAUAAAACCAAAGGAAUUUCUUAUUAUGCUAAUAUAAUGUAUGAUUUUAAAAUAAAAUCAAGUACUACAUAUGAUUUUGGUUUAUAAGCUAUUAGUUAUGAAUAAAUUAAAAUCUAAGAGAACCACACUAUAUUAUAUGUUUUUUUUUUUUUGAAACAGACACUAUAUUAUAUGAUAAACCAAUAUGUAUUCAAAUAUUUGUUCUACGUACGUAUACUGCAUUUGUUUCAUCCGAUUCAGUUCAGCGUUAAUUGUUAGCUUAUGCUCAUGUUGCAACGGGGUCUAUCUCUCUUGUUAGUUAACGUACAUGUGCCCAUGCACACACACUCAUGUUUUAACGUAAACAAACCAAUUAAUAUUAAAUUGGGGACAAGAACCAAACAUCAACAAUUAUAACAACGCGUUUGUUUUACAUAAUAUAUUUUUUUUAUUAUCAUUUUUCUCCUAAUCAAAGAUCUGUGAGAUACCCCUCACGCGUAUUCAAUUUGUUUUCUUCUUUUUUCGUUAAGUACAAAAGUUAAGAGGUAACGUCAAAAAUAAUUAAUGUAUCGAACGGUUGUACCAAAAAUAUAUAUAUAUCAGAUUAGAAAACAUUUCUCUAGUAAGUUAUUAGUUACGUCCAAAUCUCUCUUCCACUAUAUAUAUAUAUAUAAUCGGAGAGACCAUAUUCAUUUCAAGUUCUUCUAUAUAUAUAUCAAACUAUCAAAAGCUUUUCCCAUCUCUGUUCUCAACAAAGCCAACAGUUAUGGUGAGAGUGUUUCUUCUUUACAGCCUCUUUAACUCCUUUCUUCUUUCUUUAGUCCCCAAGAAGCUCAGAGUUCUCUUCCCUCCUUCUUGGUAUAUCGACGACAAGAACCCACCACCAGUACCGUCUCAAUCGGAAACUGAAUCUCCGGGGAGAACAGAUCCGGUGGAUCUAAAACGAGUGUUUCAAAUGUUCGACAAGAAUGGAGACGGUCGCAUCACAAAGGAAGAGCUAAACGAUUCUCUAGAGAAUCUAGGAAUCUUUAUGCCUGACAAAGAUCUGAUCCAGAUGAUCCAGAAGAUGGAUGCAAAUGGAGAUGGGUGCGUAGACAUAAACGAGUUUGAGUCUCUUUACGGUUCGAUUGUGGAGGAAAAAGAGGAAGAGGACAUGAGAGAUGCGUUCAACGUGUUUGAUCAGGACGGUGACGGUUUUAUCUCUGUUGAGGAGUUGAAAUCUGUGAUGGCUUCCUUGGGGCUCAAGCAAGGUAAAACCCUAAAGUGUUGUAAAGAGAUGAUCAUGCAAGUGGAUGAAGAUGGAGAUGGUAGAGUCGAUUACAAGGAGUUUCUUCAGAUGAUGAAAAGUGGUGGCUUUAGCAAUAGAGCAUGAGUUGAUCUUUUUUUAUAUAUUUUGCAGGUUUCCAUAGUUUUUAUAUAUAAUCGUCAGUUAGUCUGUUUUCUCUGUAAAUAUAUUCUAAAAUUCCAAUUGUUGAAAAAAAAUUGACUUUGUCACUUGCUAGUGAUGAGAGCUCAAAACUAAAUCAGGACACAGCCUUCCCCAUUUUGUCAGAUUCUCAUCAAAACAUAUGGGCUUUCUCCAAGUCAAGAAAUUUGGAGAGAGAGAGAGAGAGUAUAUAAAUAAUUCAUCAACCUACAAAAAACCAUCCAUACAUAAUUGAUCGAUGGUUGAGUGUAGUAUAGAUAAGAUAGAUAAGAGAUUCAUUGAAAGGGAAAAAGAAAAAGAAAAGGAGAAGGCUAAAAGAAGAAACAAAAUAGGCUUCGAGUCUUCUUCUUUUGGGCGUUGAAGAAAUCUUCAUCCUGCAAUGCUUCAAUCUGUUUUUUCUGGCGUCUUUGGACGUAACCCAACUGAAAGCCAAAAGGAGGUGAUGAUAGCCAAAUACAAACCUUCAGUUAAUAAUUAUUAGAAUCCAUUUCACGAGAAACAUAUAUAUAUAUACAUAUAUUUUUUAAAAAAUAAGCUCUCACCUCUUCUUGAAGAAUCUGCCGCAAAUUGCCAUGGAAUUUAGCUGUUGAUUCAGCCAUCUUCUUUCUUAACAAAUGUGCUGAUGAAGUCAUUACAUGAAAAAAGGGGUGGGUAGUCGUACACGAUUUGUAUCCCCAUCCAAUUUGCUAGCCGCCUCAAGCUCUAUGGCAGCCUCGGCAGCCUCGUCCAGGCUGGAUUGCUCAUAUUUUGAGAUAAAUUCAAUCGCCUGAGAUGACCAGUAUUGAGAAAGCAGACACAAUCUAUACACUACUUGAUAUAGAGAUGAAAAUGGAUUCAUCAAGCCAUGCAUAUAUAUAUAUAUAUAUAUUUAACUUUAAAAAGAAACAAUUCCGACAUAGUACUACUGUAUAUAUAUGCCUACCUUGUUUACUUCGUCUAUAACUUUUUGAAGAGCUUUAAUCUCAUUCUUCUUGGGAUUGCCGAAGUUGAAGAAUCCCGUUCCUUUCCAAACCGCUCUAUUUAAUUUUCCAUCGAAGAAAAAAAAUCAAAACUUUGACCCAAUCGGCCGGCCGGUCUAAAAAAACAUUAGGGCAUAUCGAUCGAUUGAUCUCUAGAAUUACACGAUUAAUUGGAGAUGGACACAAAAUCCUUACUGAUGCUGAAGCAAUUAAUUUAGAUAUGAGUUACCUAACUUACCCGGGUGGGACUGAUCGGAAAGAAGAUAUAUAGAGAUAAGGGCGGCGGCCAUACAACAAACUUCUUCUUCCUGUCUUCAUGAUCGCUUAUGGAUUCCUUACGUACGUACUACUAACUAAUCAUCCUUAAUGAACAAUUAAAGAGAGUUUAUAGGAAUGAUCAUUACUAUUUAUUAUAUGCAUGUUCUUCUAUACAAGAAAACUUCCAAUUUGCUUCCCCAAUGAUUAUUGUCUUUCUUUAAAAUCUUUUAACAAAUAUUGUCAAUAUACGUACGUACGUGAUCAAUUAUUAACCAUUGGUGUUGUAGAUUAUUAUUAUUAUUAUUUUUUUUCAACAACUUUCAUAUGUGUUGUAGAAUUUUGGAAACACGGUUUUAAUUAUCUCACACAAAAAAAAUCUUUACUAAUUGAUUUCAACGGAAUGGAAAAAGAAGAAGACGGAUGCAAAUAGAGAGAGGACGUGAGAGUUGAGAGGUACGUUAGUUCAAUAUGUGUUUGAUCAUGACGGUUAUGAUUUUAUCACUCUUGUUGAGGAAUUAAAGUCUCUGAUGGCUUCCUUGAGGCUCAAGAAAGGUAAGCCCCUAAAGUGUUGUAAAGAGAUGAUCAUGCAAGUGGAUGAAGAUGGGGAUGGUAGAGUCGAUUACAAUGAGUUUCUCCAGAUGAUGGAAAACUGGUGCCUUUAAUUAGUAAUAGAUCAUGUGUUGAUUUUUUUUUAAGAUUUCCAUAGUUUUUAUAUAUAAUCGGUUAAUCUAUUUUCUCUGUAAAUAAAUUCUAAAAUCCCAAAUUGAAAAUUAUUUGACUUUGUCACUUGCUAAUGAUGUAGAUAAAUUCUAAAAUUCCAAGUUGAAAAAUCAAGUAUUUUAGAAAUAUAUAUAUAUACAAUUCCUCUAUAUAUAUAUAUAUAUAUAUGUGUGUAUAUAUAUAUGAUUGCUAGUUUGCUACAGUAGAGAGAGCAAGUAAAAAGAAGGCUAAGUUGUACACAAAUUGUAUCUCCCUCAACAGGUUAAUUUCAAAAUUUACAGUUCCUUUGUGUUUCAUCAACUGAUAAAUCAUUUUUAAUUUGAUUCAUUUUUUAAUUUAUACUCAAUUUUCAUGGAAUCAUUUGUUUCUCAUUGUGAUUGAAUUUAUCAUCUAGUUUAACCGAAUCAUUGCAUGGUUUACGAGGUGCUUCUUUGGAAAUACGUUUGUAAAUGUGGACAAAAUAGAGAGAUUGGUUGAUCAUGAUAUUACUCAGUUCAAGAAUCUGGAGGCAGUGUACCUUAAUGACGAAAUAUGUAAUAAUUCUACUUUCUUAGAUACUUACUGAAUUUGAGCAUGCGCCAUUCGCUUUGUACCUUACAAGUUAUAUAAAUGAUUCAAAUGAUCCAUCAUUUUUAAUUUGUUUGAAUUUUGCACUUCUUUUAUGAUUCUAGCUAAUGCUUCUCUUUUCUACUGUUAUUGGCCUCUAAGAGUAUUUUGCCUUUUGAUUGGUAACAAAAUUGACCAUUGACUAAUGAGAGUUAUGGACAUAACUCAUAGAUGAUUCAAAAAAAUAUUAAUAAUAAGUUUUUUGAAGUUAAGUUGGAAUUAGAAUGUGUUGUGGUUCGAUUUACAAUUUUAAGUUGUGUCCUUUGUAAAUUUGUUUACUCAAAGCAUUGUUCAACAUAAGGAAUAUUCCUUGAGUUAGACUUGAGUUAUCAUUUUCUUUUCAAAUAUUCAAACGAUUGCGUGUUUUUUUUGUAUUUAUUAUUAUUUGUUCUAUUUUUAUGCUAAGCAUAUGAAAAUAACUUUAAUCACUCUUUUUUUUUUUUUUUUGAACAAUUCAUAUGAAUAUAAGAGUAAAUGAAACAAAUAAUGUUGGAAGAAAAAAUUGAAUUGAAUGGAACAAAUGCAUUGAAUAUUAUUGACUCAACAAAACAUAGUGUGAAUUUGUGAUACUCUUAAACUUUUCAUUAUAAGUUUCUUUCUUUUGUUCCACCAUAGUGGAUCCAUGCUUUGGAGUUUGGGCUAUCUGGGCAGACGUACCUAUCGGGAUUUUGACCAAGUAAAUUACUACUACAUAUAUAAAAAACCUUUUCUCACCUCCAAUUCAAUCGUUUUUUUUUAACUAGUCCUCUAGUUGGUUUCAAAUAUUAACUAUAGCUUUGUAAAAAUAGGAUGAGUUUGAAAAUCUUUUUUUGGGAAGUGUUCCUACUUCUCAGUAGUGCCAUAUGCUUCUGGUUCCAGUUUUAUAUUUAAAGGCCUUAAGGUAGAAAUUAAAUAUACAACAUAAAAAUUUAUCGGAAAAACAAAUAAAUUGACGAGAUACUAAUUAGACUCUAGAAAAUGAAGACCCUUCCACUUCCAGUGAUGAGCAUCGCCUUCCUCCUACUGUUGACAUCAUUCCCGGAUCCGACGGUGGCUUAUUGCAAAGAAGCACUUCAUCUGUGCAUAGGAACAAUAAAGGGAAGUGAUAGAGCCACGUAUGUGAAAUGUUGUGAGAGACUGAUAACGCCAGGAACCCAAUGUGUGUGUAAGUAUGUUAACGACCCUGCGCUAAUGAAAGUUGCUUACCGCCUUAUGGCUGCUUGUGGAAAGCCUAUGCCUAUUAAUAAAGACCUCAAGAAGCAUUACAAGUGUGGUUCCUUAUAACUUAACAGCCAAUCCGAUCCAUACCACCAAACCAAUAACUCAUAGAUAUUCUGAAUUAGUAUUAAUCGGGUAUUUCGGGCCUUGUCUCUUUGAUUUUUUUUCCUUUGUACUUUCUUUUAUCUCAAGAAAUAUAUAUAUAUAUAUAUAUAUAUAUAUAUAUAUAUAUAUAUAUAUAUAAGAACAUCAAUCAAUAAUGAUGGCCUAAAAUAUUCUAAAUCUGCUAGAGAAUACGGCAAGUGGUUGGCUAUUCUCUUCGGACUUUACUUCACUCUCACAAAAACAUGGCCAAAAUGGUUUCAAGAAGGAGAAAAAAACUUGUCUUCGUGUUUGUGUUGGUCCAACGUUAUCCGUUGCCCUCUGAUCGAGAUUAAAAGUUUUGUCCUUCUUUUUAAAUGUUAUAUAAAUUCAUAAAUAGUAACGACAACUAUAUUUAUAAAUUAUCAAAUACCAAACAACAAUGUUGAUGUAUGUUUUAACCUAAAAAUGAUACUAAAUGUAUAAAUCAGCACAUAUAUACAUAUACUAAAUGUAUAAAUUGUAUAUGUAUAGUAUAGCUUCGUCCGUUACAAACUGAUUUGAUCCUUUGCUUCUCUUUCGUGAUCUUGAAUAGAUUUUAGGGUUCUUCCAUUUUAUUGUACAGUGGAUAGCUUACUGGUUAUGAUCAGCAUGAAAAUCUAGCUGGUUUUAUUACAGAUGAUCUUGAUAGAGCAUCAAAAGUAAAACCUUGACUUUAUGUACACUAAAUUAUGCCUACGCAUCAUCAUCUCGAGCAACAUCAAUGUCAGAACAUAAGAAGAAGAAGAAACAAAACUUUCUUUAAGGCAAUUGCAAGCUCUUUUGUUUUCGACAAGAAGAAAAAAAACUUUAUUAAAAAGAGAGAAGAUGGGGAAUAGAAAUGAGAAAAGAUCUAUCUCCUAAAUCAAACCGCUGAAGAAUGAACAAGGAAAAACCCAGAGACCAAAAGACUAUACUUGGUGGUUCUGUUGAUCUCUGUGUUCCAGAUUCCUCACAUUGUCUACUAUGUGUUGGAUUCUCUUAGAAAGGCUUUCGUUGUGCUGUUCGAUCUGUUCAAAUAGCAUCUCCAGAUGCCUUUUGUACGUAGCCGCUCUCUUUUUCUCUGCAGCUAGCUGCUGCAUCAGUUCCUGGAUUUUGUCGUGUUCAUUCUGCAAAUGAAGAGAUAGAAUUUCAAGUCUUUUGGAGUACCAAGUUAGAUAGAUAAAGCAAAUCAAAAAUUAAAGCAGCAAAUAAAUAUAUCCAAUGUAGCAGCAACUAGUCAUGAACCAGUGCCACAGAAGCUUAUUAACCGGCUAAACAAGUAACACCAAUUAGGAAUUCAAAUGAUGCGAUUGCUGACUAGAAAAAUUUGUACUUUUAAUUCCACCAAAAGGUUUGUGAUCAUCCACCUUAAUACCUGAAAUAAAGAAUGUAGAUCAACGAAAAGAGCAACAACUAACCGGAUAUUGAUCAUAGAUGCAACCCCUUCGAACUCUCCCAGGCAUCAAAGGAUGAUUAUGCUCCUUGACAAACUUUGUGAUAACCCAUUUGCCAGAAUUCUCUUUUCUAAUCAAGAUCAUCGCUCGACAUCCAACUCUCGUUUCUGCUCGUUGUCUAAUAACCUUAUCCCGCUUGCUAGGCAACCUGUAGCCUUCCUUGUUACAAACAAGUUGCCUGCCUAUGGGAGACCCAUCAUGCCUUGACCGUGACAGUUUACUAACACGGAUGACGAAUCCUACUUUUGUAGCAUAUGCAUUAUAAAACCCAUGAGCGGCUGCUUCAGAUUCGAACUCCUGCCCAACACAAGGCUCAUCCCCUUGAUUAUCUGCCAUAUCGGCUGCAACUGCCAGAGGAAGAGAAUCAGGAUUCACCUUCUCAUCUUGCUCAAUCAUUGCUUGACCUUGACCAGAAUUGUCACCCAUUUCGUUAUGGUUGUCAUCAUCUUGCUCAAUCAUUGCUUGACCAGAGCUUUCACCCAUUUCAUUAUGAUUCUCAACCGUGGUAACCUCAAGCUCAACAGGAAUACCCAUCAUCAUCCCAGCAGCUACACCAUUAUCAAUCCUGAAAUCCACUGCAAUUCAAAAGGGCAAGGAUUUACAAAGAUAAAUAAAAAUACCAAGAAGAGCUACAAGUUUUCAUCAUUAUGUUACUAACACAUCCAAAAAACCACUAUUACUAAAAGUUGUCUUCUUUUCUAUAAUGUUUCCCAUUGUCUAGUUCAAGAUAUGACAACAAAGCUCAAACACAAGUGCUCUCAAAAGCAUCCAGCCUCCACUCAACUAUACAAAACAAAGCUUAAUAUGGAACCCUUCUUUGGGGUGAGUCUGAGGAUUAAUCUAUUUAAGAAAAGUUCACCUUCCCCAUAGAUUCAAGAUUCAUCAUCAAAUCGGGUUUUCCAAAAGUACCGAGAUGUCCAACUUCUCAGUCCCAUUCUCUCGCAGAGACUAAGAGACUUAAUCGAUAAAACAACAAAUCGAAAAUCUCAUAUCCGAAAUAAUGGUGUAAGGAAUCUUACUGUCAAAAGUAUUUUUCCGGCGGAUGUAGGUCGGAGACGACGAUCGGAUUAGGUUUUCGAUUGGGGGGAGAGAGAGAGACAGAGAAGGUGCCGGUUCAGGGUAUGGAUUGCAGUAACCUAUGACGUGGCGAGAGAUGAUUGGGUCAAUAUCGGAAAGAAGUCAACUCACCGUUCAUCUAAGCUUUGGGAGUAUCGACUCUAUGGUUCCUCUGGUGCGCUUCGCCUCGUAUGAUAAUUCCUCUAUUUCUUUUUUUCUUUUUUCCCUUCCCUUUUAGAUUUUUUUUUACAGCGUAAUUCUCGCCGACCGACGCACCCGUUAGACCGGUGUGUGUGUCCAUUACUUUUAAUAAAUGUUACAAUCGACCCCUUUCUUAUCUUUAUUUACAAAUUCAUCCUCAUACUAAUAAAUUCUUUAAUUUCCUAGCCUUUAAAUAUUACUCAUAUGAACCAGGCCAGUUGUCACAAAAUUUCGUCACACCAAAUAAAUGAUAGUAGUAACUUUGUUAAAAAUUCAAUCGACAACAUGAUAACUAACUAAUGAUGGUUUACUAUACGACAGCCAACUAAAUUACGAUGAUAUACUAAGUUUUAUAUAUCCCCACUUUCUAAUCAUUACUGACUAUGACAUUUUGAAUAGCAAAAGAAUACAUACUUGGUUGCAUAUUUAGGUAGAUGACUUUUAAUGUUACAUCUAUUGGAAUACGAACAUGCAGUAAUAUAACCCUCGGAACGUAAGCACAUUAAUACGAUCAUUAGAACAUAUCUCAUCGCUCUUGUUAUUUCCUUAUCUACAAGACUUAUCUUGUGAACAUACAUGUUUUUGUCGUAACAUAAUAAUAUAUCAAAGAUGAUUCCGCAACUCAUCUUUGAUUCAUUUAAAGAUUAGAAAUCAGUCAUUCCUUAUUUGUUUUUACAUGCGAAAAAUAAAUGAUUGCAUUCAAUAUAUAUUUAUACCCUUCCGAACUGCAUAAAAAUAUAAGUUUAUGUCAGUAACUCUGUUUUUCUUUGGUUGUCAAAUGUAUUCAUUUUUCUUAGUUAGCGUUUAUCUAAAAGAGACAUUUUUGUGUUUCUGUAAAUCAUGAAUUUGUUUUAACUAGAUAGAAGAAAACGUCGAAGGAAAUGGAAAUUCGUUGAUUAACGUUUUAAACGUUUCUAUUUCCCAUGUUAAUUAAAACUAGUAAAUCAGAAAGAAGAAGAAAAUAUAUAAAUAACGUGGGAAAUAGGAAAAUCAAACAGUCAUGGUACAUCUCUCAUAAAUACAAAUACUAAAAUGAUCAAUUAAUAAGUCAAACCUAAUCCCGUUUAUUUUUAAAAAUUAUACAUUAGUGUAUUUCUCGAUUUAGUAGAUUUUACAUGAGAUAUUCCAACGACUGUGUGUUAUCGGAAAUGAAAGUUAUCCUAACAAAUGAAAUAACCGGAAUUAAAAAUAGGAGUAACAUAUUUAUCCAAGAACGGAUAAGCCCCUAAGUAAUGAAUUAACCUUUCGAAAUAUUAUAACAAAUCAGAAAUUGAUAAUAAUAGAUAUCGAUUUUUGUAGAUGUGUGCAUGAGAAAAUAUAUCAAUGAGUCUUGAGUAGUAGGUAUUUUAUCGAAAAUGAAAGUUAUCCUAACAAGCAAAAUAAUCGGAGUCAAAGACAGGAUUAAUGAUAUAUCUUCUUCUUCUCGUUUUUAUUAAUCUCAAAACCGAUAAAUCCUUAAUUAUGAUUUAACCUUGUAAAAUACGUCAGUUCCAUGCACAAGCAAAAAAUCUGGUUAAAAACACCAAUCUAAUCACUGUUAAAUCUCACUAAAUCGUAACAUAUUUUUCAAACAACCAAUAGAAUAUUAUUAUUUACCAUUAAAAAAAAUAUAUUAGUUACCAAACACAAGCAGUUUCCGAUAUCAUACGAUAGCAUCUUAUCAUAUCUUUAAUUGGAUAAAAUCUAUAUUUUCAUUAAUUAAAAAAUUGUGGAUUUGACUAAUCCAGUCACCCUAAUGCUUCUAUAUAAACUCUUCAUAUUCUCUGAUACCUCUCUCACCAUUGUAUCCAAAACCUAGUCUCUCUCUUUCUCUCUUCCAAUCUCUAAUCGUCCGAUCAAAACGUUCCCCGACUUCACAUAAUGGCUACAUCCAACGGCGAGAAAAGUUUGAUCGUGAGCUUCGGUGAGAUGCUCAUUGAUUUCGUCCCAACCGUCUCCGGCGUGUCCCUCGCUGAGGCUCCUGGCUUCAUCAAAGCCCCCGGUGGUGCACCCGCUAACGUUGCGAUCGCCAUUUCCCGUCUUGGCGGUCGUGCUGCUUUUGUCGGAAAGCUGGGUGACGACGAGUUCGGUCACAUGCUUGCCGGAAUCUUGAAACAGAACGGCGUCUCAGCAGAAGGCAUCAACUUCGACACCGGAGCCAGGACUGCACUCGCUUUCGUGACGCUAAAAGCUGAUGGAGAACGUGAGUUCAUGUUCUACCGGAACCCUAGUGCUGAUAUGCUCCUCCGUCCCGACGAGCUCAAUCUUGAUCUCAUCAGAUCUGUACGUUAUUUUCUUUCUUUUAAUUUAUUAUUUUUAAUUAAUAGUAUGAGACGUAGUCAAAAUCUUACGUUUAAUUAGCCAACGGUGCUAGAUUGUUUGGUAUACCGUAUACGUAACGUAGAUAUUAAGUUAGGUCAAUGAAGUGAUCUGUUUUGUUUUUGUUUAUAAAGGCUAAGGUGUUCCACUAUGGAUCAAUAAGCUUGAUCGUUGAGCCAUGUCGAUCUGCUCACUUGAAAGCCAUGGAGGUGGCCAAAGAAGCUGGUGCUUUGCUCUCUUAUGAUCCGAACUUGAGGCUUCCUUUGUGGCCUUCCAAGGAGGAGGCCCAGAAGCAGAUUCUUAGCAUCUGGGACAAAGCUGAAGUUAUCAAAGUCAGCGAUGAAGAGCUUAUGUUCUUGACUGGUUCUGAUAAGGUUGAUGAUGAGACAGCUUUGUCUCUGUGGCACUCUAACUUGAAACUUCUCUUGGUCACUCUAGGUGACAAGGGUUGUAGAUACUACACCAAGGUAAUAUGGUUUUGAAAGAGUACGUUUAUUUUUGCGGAUCUGACUUUAACCUUAAGUUUUGUUCUUGUGUGUGUUUUGAUUACAGGGCUUCCGUGGGUCUGUUGAUCCUUUCCAUGUGAACGCAGUUGAUACAACUGGUGCUGGUGAUUCAUAUGUUGGUGCCUUGCUUUGUAAGAUUGUUGAUGAUCGUGCUGUGCUCGAGGUAAAUUCCAAUCAAGUGUUCUGCAAUUUCGGCAUAUUUACUUAGCUUGCUGACUUUGUUCCUUUUCUCUUCACAGGACGAACCUCGUUUGAGAGAAGUGCUAAGGUUUGCAAAUGCUUGCGGAGCCAUCACCACGACAAAGAAAGGAGCAAUACCAGCUCUCCCUACUGAGUCUGAUGUCCUGAGCCUCCUGAAAGGAAACUGACUUACAAAUAGUCAGGAGUUUUAGGAUUUCAAGUUUUAGUUUUUUUUUCCUGGCUUUUGCUAUUCUGCUAUGAAACUCAUUUUAUUCAACAUUCAAGGUUUUUUUUUUGUUUUUAUCUUUCUGAUUACUUCGAUGAAUAAACAACUCUUUGUGUCAAGUUAAGUGAACAACUGUUUAAAGAACAAUUGCUUGAGGAUAACAUUCAGAAACUUGCAAAUCCAAUGAUCUCCAAACGUGUUUGCAUUCUUCCCACCUCGAACUCAUCUUCUCUAGAAAUGUUUCGGCCCAUACUUCCUUGCUUCCUUCUGUACUCAGAUCAUAUGGCACCGAAAAACUGCAAGCAUCACAAUUAGUCAUUUUCCCAGAUGUGCUGUUGCUUUAGGCAAGCAGAGUCAUUCUUCUUUUGAAAUUCUUACCUUGUUAGCUCUUCUAAGUGAGAGUCCUUCUCAGUGGUACCAUUCCUGGAAGAUCUUUGAGUUAGACAUUACAUCAAGAAUAUUAGAAACUGAAGUUACAAAUAUACAAAAGGCAACCUGCACACUAGAACUUUGAAAAUGCGGAGGGAUUUGGUGGAUAGGUUGUAGAUUGCUUCUUCUAUGUGAUCUGUCCCGAAUAGAUACACUACUGGAUAGUCCAGCAGCCAUCUGCAAAUAUUCGAUUGAACAUUAAGCUUCAUGGUGUGAUAAACUAAUAUAAUCUGAGGGUGGUUGAAUCUUCAAAGGGAUUUGAACUUUACCCGUUUAAGGUAGGGAUUGUAACUUUAGUGUCUUGUAAACAACAACUAAGAUCAAUGCAUAAAGAAGACUGAGAAGAGUUGGCUGUGGUGGUAUCAUUGUUGCUGUUUUCUAAAGGAAAUGUGGAAGAGAAUAGCUUCUGAAUCGAUCUAAGCUGCAUCCCCAGAUUGCUAUCCUUGCUUUGUUCUACCAUCUUGAUAUAAACAAAAGCAAAGACAAGAUAAAUCCAAUGGGUGAUUGAGUAACCACUUAAACAGAACACACAAGCUUUAUAAAAGAAACAACCUUUGGAGGAUCUUGUUCCAAGUCGACGAAGAACAAUUCAGGUUCUGAAUUCAAGCUGGAACUUACAAAUUUGGGUAGUCUUCUUACAUUUAUCAGGUAAAUCAUAUCCUCAAUAACCAUAACCUUCAGAUCUUUGAAAACUGGUAAACCCUAAAAAAUUUCCAAGACACAAGCAGGAAACAAGUUAGCUACAGACAACUCAAGGACUAAUGUACUUGAAAGAGUAAAUAGAGUCUAACCUCUUGAACAAGCUCAAGAAGCGAAAGCAAGCGAUCCUGCAGCUCAGGCAUCUUUCCACCAUAGUCAAUCAUCACAACUGGUCUCAUUCCCGUGCACAAUGCCAGAACAUCUGGGCCAAAAACAACCCUUUUAGCAUCGGUUACAGAUUCAAGCAUAUGGUAAAUUGAGAUCAUACUAGAGUCAGAGUGUUGGUCUCUAAUGCUAAAGUUCAAAAUUCAUGAUGAUUUUAUCUCUAAUAGGGAGUGGAAUGUGAAUAAACGCAACAAGUUAAACGCGCAAAUUGGCUUUAUUCUUUGGAAUACCAGAGAAAGCAACCAAAGCAUCAUCAACCUUCAAUGAUAUACAAAAUGAGAUCUAAAGAAUCAAAAACAUUCGUUCAGGAAUUCGAAAUUGGAGAUACGCAGAGUUAGUAUUCAAGAAUCCCCAGAUGAGUUUCAAACAGUCACAGAACUAGAGGAUAAAAAGUGGAAUCAGUGAGAGGGGAAGAAGGAGACCUAUUUCAAGGCGGCGUUUGGAAGCGGCCUUGAGUCGCCAUUUGAUCUGAGUGAGACAAGAGCUCAUAAACUGAAGCAGUUCCUCAGAGCUUGGAACCUCCAUCUCGUAAGUCGCAAAAAAAAAAGACUAAAACUUCCUCCUUCUUCUUUACCGAGAAUCACUUUCACCUUCGUUCUCACUCUUCAAAGCUCGGACGCUACAGAAAAGUUUCAAUACAGACCCUGAACUUUCAAACUUUCGUAUAAAACACCCUGAAUUUUAAAAUAAAACCUAUCGUAAAAACACGUGUCUAGAUUUCAUUGGAUGAGUGAUGAGGAAUAAGAACCUAGGGUCACACGUGCUAACAAGAGCUUCACACGACCUUUCUUUUGGUUAUUUUUUCCACCUUGGAUCUAUGCGGUGGUGAAUUCUUCGCUUUCGCAAUUCACCGGGACUUAGCCGACGCACUCAUCAAAUCAACCGGAAAAAGCAAGCGAUAAAUCUAUUAGCUCCUUCACAGUUGCCUUCAGGUCUGCGUUUAUGUUUCCUUCUUACUAAUUGUUGAUUGAUCUUCCUUGUUACACUUGUUUCGAGUUUUCUUUUGUGUUAAUCUUCGAUUACUUUUUCUGGUUCAAAUAAUGGUGUUUCCUUGCGAUUUAUCUUCGAAUAACUGCGUUUUCCAUGGCCGGAAUCUGGAUUCCAUAUGUCGCGGAUGAUAUCGGAGAACCCUAGAUCAGCAAUGUAGUAUAUUCUGGUUUGCUUAGUGAAGUCUGUGAAGGGGAUAUAGAAAAUAGAGUAGAUAAAGAGAACAAAUUGUUAUGAUUUGAUCAGUAGAUAGAAAAAAAAAUGAAUUUAUGGUUGAGUUACGUGGGACAAUCGUUUGAUGGUUGGAUUUGUUAAGGUGUAAAGAAAUUUUGUUCUUUGUGCUUACGGACUUUAUAAUCAGUCAAGAUACUAACGGUAAGCUCUUUCUGAUGCUCUGGUUUAAAUGCCAGAGAUGUAUAAUAACAUGGGACCUCAGCCUGGGAUGCCAAUGCCUCAGGCAAUUCCUCAGCCUAGCCCUUUUGGUAAUGCCUUCUCUGGACCUGGCUCUGGACUUAUCCGGAGUGGACUGGGAGCUUAUGGGGAGAAGAUUUUCGGAUCGAGCUCUGAGUAUGUGCAGAGCAACGUAAGUAACUCCUGUUCGUUCUAGAUUUUCUGCUUUACAGGGUUUUUCGUUUGUUUUAACCGGUUGAAAUAUACAGAUAAGUCGUUACUUCUCCGACCCCCAAUACUAUUUUCAAGUGAAUGACCAAUAUGUGAGGAACAAGUUGAAGAUUGUUCUGUUUCCAUUCCUUCACAGGGUAAGAGUCACCUUCUUAUAAUGGUUAUUUUUGGCUUUGUAUAUGGGAUUAUGCUCAUAUAAGUUUUGCUGCGACCUCAGGGACACUGGACUAGAAUAUCAGAACCAGUUGGGGGUAGACUUUCAUACAAGCCUCCAAUAUACGAUAUAAAUGCACCAGAUUUAUACAUUCCGCUUAUGGCAUUUGGAACCUACGUUGUUCUUGCUGGGUUUUCAUUAGGACUCUAUGGGAAGUAAGCUCUUUAGUAAUUGUGUAUUUAUUCAUAUUUAUGUCUGUUAGAGUGCAUUUGUUCAAGCUUUUGAUCCUUGUGUUGAAUCUGAAUUUGGUAGGUUUUCUCCAGAAGCUCUGAAUUGGCUUUUUGUGAAAGGAAUGGUUGGCUGGUUUUUGCAAGUCAUGCUGCUGAAGAUAACAUUACUUUCACUGGGUAGCGGAGAAGCACCCCUCUUGGAUAUUGUGGCAUAUGCAGGCUAUACUUUCACGGGCCUUUGUAUAGCUGUUCUUGGUAAGAUAAUCUGGGGAUAUUCUUACUAUGUUUUGAUUCCGUGGACCUGCCUAUGCUCCGGGGUUUUCUUAGUGAAGACAAUGAAGCGAGUUCUCUUUGCAGAAGCUAGGAGUUAUGACUCAAGCAGACAUCACUACAUCUUGAUCUUUGUAGCUCUAGCUCAGUUUCCUCUUUUGAUCUGGCUUGGUAACAUUAGUGUGAAUUGGCUCUUUUGAAACGCAUUACGCUUACGUGGUUGUGAAAGCACUUCUGAGGUUAUGUCGCAGAAUUAUGGUAGUUGAGCUUUUUUUGGUUUAGACUUCUGUAUGUUAAAACAUAAAUAUGGCGAAAGAAAAGUUUAUCUCAAAUACACAUCUCUCUUUUUAUCUUCUUUUUUGAAUGUCAAUUUUCAUAUACUACAUUUCUACCAUGACGAGACUAGAACAAGGACAUGAACUUUGCUUUGGUAAUGAUGCUUUCUAAAAGAAAUUGUCUCCCAUCCGCAUGAUCUCUAUUCCAAGCUCCCGAGCAUAGCAUUGGUGCAUUGUGAUUUUGGCUUUUGUGGUCCUUGGCAGAUUGGAACGUUCUUUGGACAUUGCAGACAGUUAUUGGAAAGGUUUCCUCUGAUCUGUUUGGAAAUCUUUUGAAACUCCUCAGGAAGUGUGCCUGAGAGGUAGUUGUUCUCCAAGUAUAAGCUUCUCCACGAAUUCUCCAGUCUUUUCCCAUAAAUCCUAGGAAUAUCACCAGAGAACAUGUUGCUCCGUAGAUUGAUAUCCUUAAGGUUUUCGUAAGUUGCCAGGUUCAGGGGAAGGUGACCCUGUAAAUGGUUUCCUUCAGCAUCAAGCAUGCGCAGGCGUGAUCCUGUAACCUUAAUAACCUCUAUGGAUAUGAACUGGUUGAAAGACACAUUGAUGCGUGAAAUAUCAGGGAAUGUCAGGAUUUCAUGGCCAACGGUGCCUGAGAAUCUGUUCUGGCUCACGUCUAAUGACACAAGCUGUUUCAGCCUAUGCAAGGGCGAUAUACGUCCAGCAAGGCUGUUGAAACAGAGUGAUAGGGUUCUUAGACUUGGGGGCAGCUUAGGAAGCAUUCCGUAAAGAUGAUUGUUGCCGAGUUCUAAUACUUGUAGCUUCCACAAGCCGUUGAGCGCAGGUAUUCUUCCGUCGAGAUGGUUGUUUGAUAGGAUCAGGUGAGUCAAACUUCUCAAGGCUGAGAUCCUUGGAGGGAUUUCACCGGCGAUACUGUUUUUGGAGAAGUCUAUGGUUUUGAGCUCCUUGAGCCGCGUGACUUCUGGUGAUAUGUCUCCCGUGAAGAAAUUUUCGGCCAGAGAGAGUUUGGUGAGUUUCCUGAGUUGGAACACUGUCUCUGGCACUGGACCGCGGAACCUGUUCUUGUUGAGGCUAAGGACUGUGAGCUCAGUUAGGUUUCCUACUUCAUCAGAGAGGAAACCGUCAUAGCCGUCAUCAUCAAGGUCGAUCUCAGUAACUCGGCUCGUCGUGUUAUCGAGAGGGAAAGAACACAUAACUCCCAGGAACGUCCCUGAGCCUUCACAAGGGUCUUCGGAGAAGUCCCAUGUGCUGAGGUAAGAGGAUGGAGAGAUGGAACUUGGAUCAACGCUGCGUAUUAUAGCCUCUAGAGCUUGAAUAUCGGAACGAAGAGUGGCUGAGAGAACUGAUGAAGGGACGAAGACUGAAAGAACUAGCAAGAGCAAGGACAUGGUGAGUAGUAAAGAAGAAGAAGAAGAAGAAGAAGAAGAUGGAUUUGUUUUAGCAGCCAUUAUUGUUAUGGUUCUUCUUUAACAGGAAAGAAGGAACCAUUUCUUUUUAAGAGAGUAGUCUUGUAAGAAGAAGAAGGUCGUGUUGAACCUAAUUCAAAUCUAACAUGCUUCAAAGGUUUUUUGGGUUUGUUAUUGGUGACAUUUCACAUAUUUGUAGCAUGCAUCAUACCAAAUUAUACAUCAAACCAUAUAUUAACCGACUCACAACAUUUAGUUUCAUUUAAGCAAAAACAUCAUUUUAAUUAAUUAAUUUCGCCUUCUUCUUUUUUUUUUUUCAUAUGUUUCCACGCAUUUUUAAUACAUAGUUUUGAAUGGAAAAUUCAAGUUUCUCAAUUUCAAUCCUUUUUUAUAGUUAUCCUUAAGUUACGGGAAAAAGGUAUAGUAUGAUAUAUACUCAAUUAUCUUUCUGUUAAUUUAUGUUAAAAAUAAAUAGAAGAAACAAAAUGAUAACAAAAAUUAAUGGCUAUUAUUCGUUUUCUAUGAAAUCAAAUUUUGGUUCAAUUCACAUCACAAAUUUUGGUCAGCUUGAAAUUUGGACAGUUAAUCAAGAAUUUCAAUUGUUUUUUAGAAAAGAAAAAAAAAACAAAACAAGAGGUAAUCAUUGGAGCAAUUAUCUAAGAAAAGACAAUUGAAACAUUCCACGAUAUUUUUAAAAUAUAGUAAUUCACUAUAUAUAGAAGUUCAAUUUUACAUAUAAAUAAGUCGAUUGUUCCACCAAAGAUUACAAAACAAAAAAAAAAAACAAAAAAAAAAACAAGAACCAUUUAAGAACUUAUUAAGCAACAAUGGCCAUCGAAAAGAGAACCAUGAUUGCCUCAUUCGUCAUCGUACUGAUGAUGGUAACGAUGAUCGUGACCAAUGUUGAGGCUAGGAAUCAUGUCAAGAUCAAGCCCCCAGCAAACCCCAAGUUUUACCUUUUCUAAAUUGAUGGCUCAUAAAAUGUUUACAAGAAAAUAAAUGGUUAUUGCUUCGACGUACGAGGAGCUUAGCUUCAAGCAUUGGUUUUAACCAAUGUUUGUUUUUAAUAUGUAUUUCACUUCCAUCCUCUUAUUUGUUUAGUUAUGGAUGGAUGGAGUAAUUUGAAUAAUAAAUUGUGUAAAAAAAAAAGAAUAUUUAUACGUUAAUGAAAUAUAAUAGUUUCAUAUUUCAGUGACAAUAAUGUUUUUUUUUUUUUGCUAUGAAUGUUAAUAUAAUUAUAAGUGAAAACGUUUGGUUUUAUUUACAUAGUAGAAACCUUUAGAUUUGAAUUCUU